rnacentral:lncRNA from 1 species
GCAGGCCACUGCCUACGAUCCUAGCCCUCUUCAAGACUUCUGCAUCGCCGACAUGAAGGCGCCUGGUAUGCACUACGUAUAGUGUGCACGUAUAGAUGUGUGCCCUUAAUUCUAGUGGUGGUAUAGUUAAUGUUGUGAUAGCCUAGUAUUGAUCACACACUGAAGUUUACUACAUACUGAUAACAGUUUUUCUUUUGCGGGGUACAUACUGAUCAUAGUUCUAAAAGUAUUAUUACUGCAUGCUCAAGCCACCCACACAUUUCUUACUUGCUUUAUGUUACUUUCUCUAUGCAUGCAGUGCGAGUCAAUGGAUUUGCUUGCAAGGACCCAAUGGCCGCAACCCCGGAAGACUUCUUCAACGCAGCCAUGCUCGAUCAGCCUAGGGAUACCAAGGCCAGCAAGGUCAGGUCCAACGUCACCAACAUCAAUGUCAUCAAUUUUCCUGGCCUCAACACCCUCGGCAUCUCCCUGGCACGCAUCGACUAUGGGCCAUUAGGUGUCAACACGCCGCACAUACACCCCCGUGCCACCGAGCUCCUCACGGUGCUUGAGGGGACACUCUACCUUGGAUUUGUCACAUCCAACCCAAACAGGCUCUUCUCCAAGAUAGUUAAGAAGGGUGAUGUAUUCGUAUUCCCAAAAGCAAUGAUUCACUUCCAAAUGAACCUGGCGCAUGACAAGCCAGCAGCCGCCUUGUCCUCGCUCAGCAGCCAAAACCCUGGGGUUAUUUCUAUCGCCAAUGCAGUCUUUGGAUCAAAGCCACCAAUUUCAGAUGAUGUUCUAGCCACGGCGUUUCAGGUGGAGAAGGAUCUGAUUCACUGGCUUCAAUCUCAGUUCUGGGAGAAUAACAACUACUAGAUACUCUCUUUCAUCUGGGCAUAUGGAAAGUUCAUAUGUAAUGCUAGUAUAUAGAAUAAAUGGCAUGUAGUAAUACGUAUGCAUGCAUGGUUGUGAGCUGUGAAUUUUCAUUUUCCUUUUGAAGCGUGACAUGAUAUGUUUCUUGUCGGAUUCAUGUCAGAAUGUGUUGGUGAUGAUUGUUUUCACUGUUUAAUGAAUGGAAUACAGAGGUGCUCCUUUGCCUUGUUGCUGAUAUAGAGAGAUCCGUGAUGUUAAUGACAAAGCAGCAAUGAUUGGACAUGCAUGUUAUUUCUAGACCCAGUUUACAUGUACUUAAAACUUGUUUUUGCCCGACAAGGUGAUUUGUUCACUGGAAACCAGGAAACGCAAACUUGUUCUGUGGCGAGAAAUCAUUUAGCAUGCUGGAAACUUAGAUGCCAUCGUUUAGCGGAUUAAGCAUCAUAGAUGGAAGAGCAGGGAUAUAGUUGUUAUGAUGUAGUUGCUCGCUAUCAAGUAUCUGCAUUCCCAAUAAUGGUUACAAGUAAACAAAAAAGAUGGGGCACAUGAUCGUAUUGGUUUCGCACCAAGAUUGGGCUAUACACCUAUUUAUAAUAUGGAGCGUCAUGGCAUGUGGAUUAUUAGUCCAGAUCUAUCUACAGAAUGGGUUUGGAUUAUUAGUCCAGACCUAUCUACAGCCUACAGGGCAACUCAAUUGGCAGUCUAUUCAGAAUCAUAUUCUUUCAAAGUUGUAAAUGCAUGCGCAGACACAAACUCUUGAUGGACAGAAGUUGCGGCAAUCUACGCGGGUUGUGUGGAUCUAUUAGUGGAGAUAUGGAGCGUUCAUUUUAAGCAUUGUGUGGAUCUAAUUGUGGAGAUACAGAGCGUUUUACAUGAAGCAAACUGUGCCGCUCAUGAGAUUGCUAGAUACAAUGGUUGUUUUUUUAGAAAUGCUAGAUAUAGUUUUGAAAGUAAGCUCUCUUGUAAGUGGGUCGAUGAAACCCCAUAUUUUAUCCUUAAUUCUCUUGUAAACAAUGUACGUGUUAUUUGAAAUCAAUAAAGUAAGCCAUGAUGGCGUCCGCUAUAGUUAGUCUUUUCAGAAGACCCUCUGAGAAGCCUCUUUAUAUAGGUGGCAAGGGGCCCCAUUAUACACAAAAAAUAUCAUUGAUCAAUAAAGUUGAGGAGUCUUCAGCUACAUUUUUGUGCUUCUUUUGUGCUUAUAUUUGGCGUAGUAACAUGAUCAUUACAUUAAAUUAUCGGUAUUACAGUACUUGGUAGUCACGUACACUCCCACACACUUGAUUGGAUUUUAUUUGGGAAUAAUCGCUUUGGUUUUUAUCUUGAUCUAUUGACACCGUUAUCAAAACAAUUGUUAUUGAUGAUCCUAAGAAAUAAAAACAAAGCAACAUGCAUUGAAGGGGUUAUUUCCACACAUGAGUUCACGUGACAAUAAUCUUUGAAUUAAUAAAUACGACAUACUUUGUACUGGGAAAGCAUUGUCGGUCCGUCAUCAAGAAUUGACCAUACUACUUAGUUCAGUCACGAAAGAGACCCGUAAUAAGUUAAUAAUAAUUGAGGAAAUCCAUUUCAUGCACCAACGCAAGUACGUGGAUCAAACACGUCUCCAUCAUUUGACCCGUCGCCAUUUUUUCUGUUAGUGGUUACUUGCACGCAAAUAAAUGCAGUUGUAGACUUGUAGUGUCGUACCGACAUCUGUUAGGUGGAUGCCAAACCAUAUUUAUAUGUUCUGAUGAGAAAAUUCUUACAACACAUACAUGUAGAGGAGAUGGUACAACCGUACAAACAUGCCAAAUUUCAGGGUCAAAACCUUAUGUUGAUCUCGUAAUCCGAGGUCAACACGCCAACACAUGAGUUGAUAGCUUCUUGCCCUGUGAGAGGUUGAUCCAAUCCAACAUGGAUAACGGAUUAUGCGGCACACGAUGAGGAAUUGAAAAUGAAAUGUUGACGACUGUUUAGUGUGUGGACAUUCAUAGUUCAUGUCAUCAUUUUUUUUAUUUUGCAGGGAAAAACUGAUUGCAUUAAGUAAACAUAGUACUCCCUUCCUACCAUCAUCUUAUAUUGUGCAACACAAUCAAGGUGGAGAGGAAAACGAGAGAAGAUAAUGUUCAUUUUGUUAAUCAAUAUUAUUACAUGCAAUGAACUCAUUACUGCAAGCCGUGUUAGGUAGUCUAAAGUCAUUAAACAUAUACAUGUUCCAUGUCUCUAAGUGGAAAUUAAUGCACCACGCUUAAGUGUUUUCGAAUUAUUUGGUUAUGCGGCACACGAUGCAGGAUUGAAAAUGAAAUGUUGACGAUAGCUUAGUGUGUGGACAUUCAUAGUUCACGCCAUCAUUUUUUUUGCGUGGAAAAACUGGUUGCAUUAAUUAAACACAGUAUUACAAUCAUUCUUUAUAACGCUAACCUUCCUAGUUUUGAAUAGUCCACAUUCAAUUCAGGUCUUCAAUUAGAAUUGGAUCACCUGAUUUUGACUAAGUCAAUAAUUUCUUAAAGCUCUUCCGUUCAAUUCUUUUAUACUAUACAAUGUGUUUCCUAAUUUUUAAAGUUGCACAAUUAAUUCAGGUAUUCAAUUUAGAAUUGGGCCAUCCGGUUUAGACCAGGUCAACAAUUUCUCAGGCUCUCUCAUUCAAUUCUUUUAGCUCACUAUCUUCCCUAAUUCUCUCAAGUUCAGAGCAUAUAUAUCAACAUCCCAAUGCUAAACAAAAAAGGUAUAGAAAUUCAUUUCACGAUGAAUCUAAAAAUAUUGAUUUGAUAUAUUUCUCUAUAAAUUUGAUCAAACAUAAAAGGGUUACAUAUUUGAAAAAGCAAUAGACCUUGUAUUUGGAAACAAAGUGAUUGUUUGUUAAAGAAAUUCGACAACACACCAACGGUGUAGCAAAGCGUGCCAAACCCUUCUAGUCUUGGAUGAAAUCACAAACUUUCGAAGGAAAAUUCCCUAGCCAACCAGUGGUGCGCUGCUUAUCCUAUUUGGCUCACCGUGUCCUAGGCAGUGCAAGGAGAGGUGAAACCGUGAAAGAGGUGUUACAUGUUACCCAAACAACUUUGAAGCUAAAUAUCUCGGGCUCUCGGUGCCGGAUGAGAGAGGAAUAAAUGAAAGUUCAAAAGCUUACACGAGAGACUAGCAAAGCGCCUGCUUCAAUGCAGGUGAAAUUUACCUUUCUCGAGAUGGGAAGGAGAUCAUGUUAAAGGCCGUCGUUGUGCAGGCACUACGAGUGUACGUGAUGGGUGUUUUCAAACUCCUAAUCGGGCUUUGUCAUGACCAAACAAAGAUGAUGACACACUAAUGGUGAUGUGCGGACAAUGAAAAAUGGCGGUCUCAUGGGAUCUCUUGUGACAUUAUGCACGGGUCAAAGGUGAUGGGAGGAGUGGGGUUCAAGAGUCAGCGGCUCCUUAAUCAAGCAUUGAAAACGGGGCUAGCAUACGGGCAUGGCAUGACCCCUGGAUCCCUUGCGGUGCAUCAUACAGAUCGAUUACCACACAACAUAAUUUUCAUCUGUGUUGGGUCAUGGAUUUCCAGAUGGUUGAUGAUUCAUGCAUGCCUUCAUGGAAUACUCAACUCAUAUAGUAACACUUCUUCAUUGUGGAUGUUGCAAAGAUUUUGAAUAUCAAACCAUUGAGGCGCCUUGAGGAAGACUUCAGGCCGAGUGAUUGCAGCCAUCAUGGGAGGGCAUCAUUCGGUGCUUCAAGUACAUCGGUGUGGUCGUGACAAGCGCCAUCCUGGGGUAAAUCACAAGUUCUACAAUGGCGGCUUCCCUCUCAUCUGAAGCACGCUUCUUUGGAGUGCUACUUGGGCCUCAACCUCAACCCCAUGUACAAGCACAGCGACGUAGGAUAUAGGAUACCUAAACGUUCAUUUUUUUUGAAACUGGCGGAACACCAUAUUCGUAGAUCAUCGAUUUAAUGACUUCAGCUCGAGGUUUUGAAUCAACUAUCGGAGCCGAUUUCAUCUCUUGAGUACAGUAUACUUUUGAAACAACCUUCUCACUUGUCAAUUACUCGUGUGGAGAUUUGGCGAGUUUCCGUUGUGAGGCCUUGGAGACCCUUCGAGCAUGACCAUAUGCAUGUGCCAUCGACGGUUACUGCUUACAGUUACAGGUGACGAUAUCAUGGUCGCAUCAACGGUAAUGAUAUGAGGUUGUCGUCGUCUCAAAUGUCCUAAAUUGUUUGGUAUAUUCUUGUCUUCUUAGCUGUUCUAUAGUCUCUUGCAUCCUUGGCGCUUUUAUUUUUCAGUUUUUUUAUUUUUAGUUUUGUAUUAAUGGAUGUAAUGUUUGGUUGUGGCUUUAUAUAUAAAGCCUUUAAUAAAAUAGCUUACAUGCGCCUCAGAAACAGGAAGCGAGCUAAGAAAAAGAAAUAGGACACGUUUGCUUACCCGCCUCAUCGAGGCCCGCACAGGAAGAAAAAGGAUCGUUUGGUUACCCUCAUUGACUGUUUGGCCUGCACAGUACGAACAUUAAAGCACCUUUGUUGAGUCAGGCCCAAGCGAUGCAACCCUAGGCACGUGGGCGUGGGCGGUUGCACGCAUGGAUGCAGCCUCGAGACGUCGCGUUAUUUCCCCAAUCGACGUCAUAAAUUACCCUCACCUCCCUUCGGGGGGGGGGCCCUCUUCCCCACUCACAUCAGCGAUGGCGAUCACCGGAGCGACAACACGAGGAUCUACGAUAGCAGCGACCAUCGCAGCGACUUCAGACCUCCGCCACAGCGCAUCGGCCAUGGCGGUAAGUCCUUUUCCCUAUCUACAUUGGCCAUGACUCGGGCUAGAUCUAUUUUGAGCACGGGAUUGGAGAAUUAGGGAGGGGAUUGAACACAUGGAGAUUGGGGAAUUGGAUUCAACACCGCCCUCAUCUUCAGUUCUUGGCUAAUCGAUCGAUUACAUCGGGGGUGGAGAUUGGGGUACUACCUAAUUUUCUAGCCACGAUGACCCUGGAGUCGCGUCGAGCGGUGGUGGGCGUAGGCUUCUUCUUUUCUUCGUCACCAUCGCAUUAUUCCUGACCGUCACAUCAAGAACGAUGGGUCUUGCACGGUCGCCUUCCGUCGACGCCUUGACCAUCAUUUGCACCUCGUUUUCUUCCACUGCUUGCGCCCUCGCCACCAUCUGCACAUCGCCGUCUUCCUCUGCUGGAUCCACCAAAGUCCUUGUCUUCCAGUACACCACAACACGGUGGUCAUCGGGACUAUCAUGAGGAAUAACUACGGGCACUACCAUGAGGAGGAUGGACCAAACCACUUCUGCAAGGUGAUAUUUGCUCUGAAGCUGGAGGCUCUGUCUUUGCAUCUCGACUUCAUGAAGCACUUCCCCGCUAUGUUUAGUCCUAAGACGAACACCAGCUGCUCAUGGAGUGUCACGGUGAAGGUGGUCGACAACGGGGUCACCCUUGAUCAGGGUUGCUCCACCUUCACCAGUGUUCACCACGUCGGGAUCGGGUACAAGCUGACUUUCAAGCUGCUCACCCCUAACACCAUGAAGGUGAUGCAGCGUGGACGUGGUCACCAAGUGCAAGAAACAUGACGAGGCCUUCACCGUGACCGCGUAAAUGACCUCUUGUUCCUAGUUCCGUGUUGUGGGUUGUUCUUUUAAGAGUACUAUGUGUUACGAUGUCGUUUAGAACUUAUCAUACUAUGUUUAAAAUUUUUGUUUGGUUAAACUUUGAUUUGUGCUUAAGUUUGUUUCGGUUGCUUUAUUUUUUUGCAUCUGAUAACCUCACCACAUUGAGGAGGAGGUUAGCACACUAUUGUACUAGAUGUAACCAAACAAUUCAACAUGUGUUUGACCUCAAACCAAGCCACAACCAAACAACAUGCCUUCUGUUUCGACAUAUGCAGGCUACACGGAAUGCAUGCAACCAAUCAACAUGCAGAUGUUGAUUUUUUUGCAUGCAUAUGCUCGACCAGGCCCAACUGGGGCAAGUAUGCAAAUGGCAAAAAAACGAUGCACGUAACCAAACGCGCCCAAAGUGAUCUCUCAAUCACAUCUUGUUUAUUUCAGAUCAAAACUGUCUCUUUCCAUUAGAUGAAGUGCUAUAUAUAGCAUUGGAGCAAGCGUUUACAAGGGGGCGCCAUUUCAGACAGAACCGACGCAAUGGUUGCGUAAAGCAUGUGCCAAUGAUUAUAACAAGUAGGGGUUAAUCCCUUAAUUGCUAUAUUAAUUAAUCUUAGCACUCCCCCUAAUCCAUGCUUGUCCAGGUAGCAUCAUCAUCUCGAAAGAGUCUCCUUUAAAAACCCUAUGGAAAAAAUAUGAGGAGUAUAUUAUUUGAUAAGUUGCCAACACUCCUUCAAACCCAGUGGAAAAAAUAAGGAGAAAAUGAUGCAACAUGUCAUCAUUAUUGUCUCUUUUAACUCAAUAUGAGAAAAUUGUAGAAUUUUGAGGAAAAUAAAUAUGGCGUAUAUACUUUAUUAAAACCCGAGUGGGGAAAACACAAAAUAUGACAUCUGGUCUUGUGUUGAUAUUACCUCAUUAAAAACCUUUACGAGAACCUAUAUAGUAAACUCAUGAAGGGAAAAAGAGUAUAAUAUGAUGCAUUGAACAGGAACAAUUCAGGAAGAUACUCCCCCUGAUUCUUGCAAACUUCGAAGCCGUGACAUACCAAUUCCAUGAACAUAUUUCUGGAAUGUAAAAAUUGGUAGAGACUUCGUGAGAAAAUCAGUCACAUGAUGUAAUUUACAAGAUAUGCAAGCGAUAUUGCUUACGUAACCUGUUUGCAUCCGGGCAACACAAGAAAUAUUAUAUUUGAGAUAAUAGUUAGUGGAUGUAGCCAUUAAGGUCGGUUGCAAAAAAUGUUAUGCAAUGACUAUCACACCUAGUAGGAACACUAAGCUUGCCUAUGAUAUGACAUAGUAGGGAUCUGAUCAAUGUAUCCAAUGGUAUUGGUGUUCAGAUUUAUCUGAAACUGAAAAACCAGGACAAGAUGUUUGAUACCUUUGGAGAUAUCAAUAGAUAUUCUUGAGUCCCAACAAAUUGUGUUUGGUGGAUCCAAUGGCAUUAUGAAACGUUGAGUCCCAAUAUCUGAUUUUCAUCAUCUCUUGGUUUAAAUAGAUCAUUCUCUGCGUCUAGAGAAUGAAUUACCAUGAGAGUUAUGGAUGGAUAAGAUUUGUCCACAAUGAAUUUCUCCAAUAUAUUUUGGAUAUAGACAACAUAGUAUACCAUAACGUAUGAAUGAAGGUGCUCAAGUUAUAGUAACGAGCGGUAUUUUGGUUUACCCAAAUCCUUAAUUUUAAUCUCCGUCAUUUAGAUGAUUACAUGUGUCGUCAGUACAAAGACACAAACAUGGAUAAUCAUCAUUGUAGGAGUAAUCCUUGUGUAUAAGGAACUCAUUACAUUAGUUGUACCGACAACAAUAAGUAGUAUGGUGACUUACUGAAUUUUACACAAUGUAUGUUACAUUUUGUACUUCAAUAGAAUUGAGAUUACAUCGGAAAUAUAUCAUAUAUGUCUGAAUCUAGUGAGCCACAUGGAUAUGUGAUCACUACAUCUAUCAACCGCAUAGAUAAAUGAUCUUAUAUUCUCAAUGAUACAAGUUGUCGGAAAGAAGUUCCACCUCUAGAGAAUAGUUGGGUAUCUGCAUGAACCCUUAUGCUACAAUACUUGCUCUAUGUUUCACAACCUUGUUGUUCUCAAUUCUGUUUCCAGAAGAAAACUGGUGUAGGUAUUGCUUAUGAAUACCUUCCCUUUAUUGAGCAAGAUUAUUUCUACCUAGAUUAUACCAUUUUCUUGAGUUCAGUUUGAGUGUUGUUCACACUUUGCCAUGCCCAUAGUCUUGGAUCUGAAUCAUUUGAAAGGUUUUUGAAAUCUAGUUGAGAAAUGUAUAUCGACAAUUGUAGACUUCUGGUUAUAUGUUUCUCUAGAAUCUAUAUAUCAAUAUAUAGUUGAUGGAAAUAUCGUUACCCAUGGUGACUGCUCGCGAUUUCCCGGUGCGAAUGAGUCGUGUAUUCCGAUGUCCCAGUCAUUAUGUGCAGUAUGACCUGGGUUAGUGGAGGUUUCCCAUCCACUUGGUAUACUACUCAUACGUAUCCAACGUAUCUACAAUUUUUUGAUUCUUCCAUGCUGAUAUAUUAUCAUUCUAGAAUACUUUUGGGGUAUUUAUUUACCAAUUUAUAUUAUUUUUGAGCACUAACCUAUUGAUCCAGCGACUACUGCCAGUUGCUAUUUUAUGCGUGUUUUUCACUUUUCAGGUUUUCCAUAGCAAACGAAGUCCAAUUGCCCUGAAAAUUUUUGGUGAUUUUUUCUGGACCAAAAGAAGACCAACGAGCAUCGGAAGAAGGUUGGAGGCCUCACAAGGGGCCCACAAACCAACAGGGCGCGUCAUGGGGGCGCGCCCUGAUGGCUUGUGCCUCCCUCAUGGCCCUCCCGACUCCGUUGUUUGGCUUAUAAAUUCUCAUAUACCCUAAAAACAUCAGAGGGAGUUCCGAAACACUUUCUACACCAUCGCAAGUCUCUGUUCCGAUGGGAGGCCAUCUGGAGUUCCAUUCCGACACCCUGCUAGAGGGGGAUUGAUCAUAGAGGGCCUCUUCAUCAACCUUUCUACCCUCAUGAUGAUAUGUGAGUAGUUCACCACACACCUACGGGUCCAUAGCCAGUACCUAGAUGGCAAUCUCUCUUUGUCUCUCUUUUAUCUUCAUUACAAUGACCAUCGCAACUUCGCUUUGAUCCAUAUAUAUGAUGUAAUUCCUUUCGUGCGAUGCAUUUGUUGGGGUCUGAUGAAUUGUGGGUUUACGUUCAAAUUAUUCGUGAUAAAUAUUUGAGUCUCCUCUGAAUACUUGUAUGAUUCUAAUGUGAAUGAUUAUGAUAGGUUCAUAAUUCUCUCCGAUCUAUUGAAAUAGUUUGGCCAACUAGAUCGAUAUUUCUUCGGUGAGAGAGGUGCCUUGUGGUAGGUUCAACCUCGCGAAUUUCUAUAUCCCAGUGACAUAAGGGGACAAGAUGCAUCUUUGUAUUGCCGCUACGAAGGAUAAAACGAUGGGGAUUAUUCAUAUUGCUUGAGUUUACUUUGUCUACAACAUGUCAUUUUCUCCAUGCAUUACUCUGUUUUACUUAAUACUCUAGAUGCAUGCUGGAUAUCGGUCGAUGAGUGGAGUAAUAGUAAUAGUUGCAGGGAGGAGUCGGCCUAUUUUUUAUGGACGUGAUGCAUAUAUACACAUGAUCAUUGCCGUGAAUAUUGCAUAACUAUCCGCUUUUCUGUUAGUUGCCCAACAGUAAUUUGUGUACCCAUCGUAUGCUAUUUUUCAUGAGAGAUGCCAUUAGGGGAAAGCUAUAUCUCCCGGGUCUAUUCAUAACUUAUUGAUAAAACCUUCAUUACCUUGCUUCCAUUUCAUUGUUUUAUGUUAUCUUGCUAUCUACAAUUGUCUACACACCUCACUUGCUUGCAAAUAACAAGACAAGAGGAUUGACAACCGAGUUGCCCGCGUUGGGUGCAAGUUAUUUGUUCUUUUGUGUGCAGCCGCUGAAGACGGUUGUGGUUGAUAUUCCUAUUGGUUCGAUAAACCUUGGUUUCAUAACUUAGGGAAAUACUUACCCACAUUGUGUUGUGAUAACCCGUUCCUCUUCACGAAAAACCCAACGUAGAUCACAAGUAUCAUGAAGGAUUUAUGGCGUCAUUGUCGGGGAAUAUCAUCACCAACUACCAAGUAACUCCACACAAAAUUUCAUUCACUUGUUUCCAUCUUUUUUUUGCUGUUCUAUUUAAUUUGUCUCAUAAAAAAAUANAUACAAAAAUAUUUACAUUUUCUUGUUUUGCUUCUCACUAGAUUGCAUCUUCGCUCUCUAGUUUUCUUGAAAGUUGUUAUCAUGUCUCAGUUUGAAAUUAGUGAUGCCUCCGCCUCUAGUGUGGGAACCCUUGAUUUGCCAACUUUAACUUACGAUGAGAAUGCUAAAGUAAAUUUUGAUGAAGUUUCUAAUGAAAAACUUGAUAAUCUUGCGAAUCAUGAUCCUCCUAAGGUAGAACCUAUUAUGCAAACUAAGAAACUCCGCAUAGGUGGUGGUAAUAUUAUUGGAAAGUGUGUUAUUCAAGAUUUUUUUCACUUGUGCAGGAUCAUUCCCUUUUAUAGGAGGUUUUGUUGUUGCUAGAACUACAAGUUAUGUGAAUGUCAUAUAUUUUCUUAUAGUACAAUCGGAGAGACAAUUUGUGCAUAUGCAUCCUUUUAUACAAUGGUUGUUCCUAGAAUUCUCUAAUAUCCAUGAAGCUAGCACUAAACAUCUAGCUACUUGUCACAUCCCUGGAUCCCUAACUAGGGUUUAGUAUUUGUGCUCAUGUUUUCUUCCAUUGCAUUCAAGAAAUUGAAACAAACUCCAAGAAGUGCUGAAACUCAAACCAAAAACCCUAGCCACUUCUAAUUCAAGGAAAAUUCAAAUCUUGUCAAAAUCAAUGAACCCAAAAUGGCCUUCUUUAAAGUUCAAUAUUUCUGAUAAAUAUUGAAAACAAGUUAUCAGGGGAGAAAACUAUUUUUAAGACAUCCUUGGCAUUUUAAAUUUAAUUCAGAAAGCCCCUGAAUUCAAACUUAAAUUUGAAUUCAAAUAUUUACAAGUUUCAAAACUGUUGCAAACCUCACGAGUAGUUGGCAAUAUUCCAACUAUCACUCCGGGCUAUUCAAAAUAAUUUUUGAACUAAUUUUGGAGCCAAUAUAAAUGGCAAAUCAAAUCAGCAACAAAACAGAAAACAAAAAUAGAAAAAAAUGGGAAAAACUUACCUGUCGCUCACCUGAGGAAGCCCAGCCCACAGGGGCAGGUUCGUCUUCUUCCUUCUGCCUUCUGGCAGAGGAGUGAACGCCCACGGUGACUCCUCCACCUCCUGCUUGCCGUGGCGCGCUCCGGUGCCCCCAGGACAGCGCGAUGGCGGGAAUGAGACCCCCGCACGCGUCCUUAUCUUCUCCCGUUCCCCAUUCCGCCCCCUCCUCUCGGCUUUCUUCCUUUCUUCUUGUGCCGCCAUGGACAGAGCUCAAGCUCGAGCUGCCCGAGCCCUCUAGCCACAGGAUACUUCCUCCGAGUGCUCCAUUUUCUCCGCCUCGUCGAGCUAGCCAUGUACGCCGAAGCAUUCGACCUCCCCAAGCUCUGGUGCGCCACAUCGCCGUCGUCUUCAACCUCCGGCCGUCGGCAAGCUUCUGUUGAUUCGACGUCCACAGCACCUCCCCGAGCCGUCUGAGCUUCCCAUCGCCUCCACCGUGAGCUUGCGCGUGUUUCCCCUCUUCUUCCCCCCAUUUUCCUGCAUGCUAGCCACUAGACCGACGAGCCCGAGCUCCGGCUGCUGCCUCAGCUCGUCGCUGGUGACCUCCGGUCAAUCCCAGUCCUUCCUGAAACCCAUAAUGGAUGAGGUCGAGCCUCGGGAUCCUCCCAGUGCUCUCGGCACUCGAUCCUGAGCACCACAUGCACCACAGUAAGUAAAGGUUGUGUGUUGAACCUGAUUUGGUAAAGGUACCGGUGAAAGGCUAUGUAGGAGUACAUGGCGGGUUGUUUCAUUGGAACCGUCCUUAGGAACUGAGUUCCGUGUAUGUAAUCCAAGACUAUAUACUACAACACGUUGGGAUACUUAAUUGACACUCACGACUUAUUAAUCGCUUAGUACUCGGUCCAGGAGUUGCAAGUAGUUUCUGGUGUUUAUAGUCAUGCUGGAGGCCGUGCGUAGCGCUGACCUUAGAAGUGGGAUAUGAUGCGGUAGGCAGUGGCACGGUGUACCAAGGGGCACCCGGAUGGUGGGCUUGGGAACCCUGCGCACAUCGUUUGGGGCCGUGGCGGAAACCUCGGCCGGACUUCCGUGCGGGUUACCCUCAGAUAGGCGAUAGACCUGGACUAAGUAUUAGCGUGGUUAACGGUCGUGGCCGACUCUCUCACUGGGCUUCCGCUUGGAGGUUGCCGAGGUGCAUGUCGUGCACAUGGCGAUAAGUGGCGAGAGCAUGUGUGAAGAAGUACACCCCUGCAGGGUUAUGAUCUAUUCGAAUAGCCGCGUCCACGGAUAUGGACUACUUGGAAGCAUAUGUUGUUCAUAGAUAACUUUAAUGGCUACUCAUAAAAUUGUCAAGAUAAGUGUGAGUGUCGUGGACGGCAUUUCCGUAUGGAGACGGAAUGAUUCCACGAUGGAGUAUUGUUGUGGUGUUAGUGGACUCAUGUGCGAGAAAUCAAGUUGUCAAAAUUAUUUAAAAAUGCAAGUUGUCUAGCCACGAGUCAAAUGUUGGCUUUCCGCAUGAAACCCCACAAUUCCUUAUUGAUACAUUGCAUGAGUAGAUAGCUUAUCCUAAAGUCUUGCUGAGUACUUUUGUACUCAUGUUUGCUUAAUAAUUGUUGCAGAGGUUGUUAAUGACCCUAAUGGAGGGUUCUACCUAGACAUCGACGAUGACGAGUAGCUGGGAUCUGGCCCUAGGGUGGGUCUGUAGAUAGUCAGGCCAUGUGCCUUUAUCUUUCCCUCUGUCUGUACUCAGACAGCUUUAAAUCUUCCGCUGGCUAGUAAGAUUGUGUGUAUGACUUGUGAUGAUGGGUCGUGAGACCCCUACUUUGUAAUAUUAUGUGUGUGGAUCUUCCGAGCCUUCUAAAUAAAGUUUGUAUGUUUAUGGUUAUGUUGUGAUGCCAUCGAUGUAUCUAUACAUAUCGGUAGGCCAUGCGUACGUGUGUUGUACUUGAUAUGUAUGGGGUUCGAUUACCUAGUCGUAGGCUUUAGUAGCAUUCCUUACAGGGAAAUGCCCCUUUGUGAUCCAACGAGCCAUGGUAGUUCGCUACUGCUCCGGACACAUUGGUUGACCAGCAUGUGUCCUUCUUAGCUAUUGUGUCUGUCCCCGUUGGGGAAAUUUUACCCGAUGUAAUGGAGUCCUUGUAGCUUGCUUCGACUUGUCUACAUUCGCUGGUGACCGACACCUGCUUUGCUGGGUCAUGUAUGCAUGUCCCUGUGUGGAACUGCCGCUUUGGUUUAUGACUAGACAUGUCGAUCCGGGUUCUUUGUCAUUGGAUUGCUAGCGACACAAUUGCAUACGCGAGUCAAAAGUCGCAAACGGUCCCGGCUAAGGUAAGGCUGCAACCGUGGGGAUAACCGUGUGUGAGACCGCAAAGAGAUGCGAUGUGUUACAGUCUGGAUUCCUAUGGCUUAGGAUCGGGGUCCCGACACUACUAUAUUCCUUUUCUAAAGAAUUUAGUAAUAUCAUACAAGAAGCUAGAGAUAUAUUUUCUCAUUUUAGGUUUGAUGGUGAUUUCCCACCCAUAGAGGGGAUUCUUUAUGAAUUGGAAGAAAUAAGAAAACUAAGAUCCAUAGACUAUCUUGCUUAUGAUGAGAACCUUAGAAAGAAGGUACCGCUUAAUGUCUUAGUUGAUAAUAUUUCUAAACACAAUGAUUAAUUUGCUAUAUCAAAACUUGGAUUGGAUUAUGAUCUUCAAACAAAAUUAAGGAAAUACCUCCAUAGGAAUUUAUACAAUGAGGAACUAACUAUCACUUAUGAAAAACCCAAGGGAGAGCCUCAUGUCCCCCCCCCCCAAAGUAGACCUUUCGGAUCCUAAUGUUGUGCUAUUUAACCCCUUCAAUUAUUUUUGCUAACCUAUCAUAAAUCUUGCUGCUCAAUAAAGGGAAUAUGAUUAUAGAAUGAUGGGUCAUUCUUAAAAAUAUGACAACACUUGAAACUAUGCAAUAUACCUAGCUAGGGGCAUAAAACAAUAGCGCUUGUUGGGAGGCAACCCAAUAGUUAUCUCUAUUUUUUCUUUUAAAUUUUUAUCAGUUUGCGAUAACAUGAUUAUUUCCUAUGUAAUUAUUAUGUUUCUAUGUUUAAUUACUGUUUGUACCAAGUAAAUCCUUUGGGAUGAUUUGCAUGAUGAGUAGAAUUAAUACGGUGCAAAAACAGAAACUUUGACGUCCACUACAGAAUAUCUCUGAUUUUACUAGAACGUAUUUUCAAGCUGAAAUUUUUACACGCUAUGAAUACGCAAAUUCGUUAGGUCGUCCUAAACUUUCAGAACUUUUGGAGUUACUUUAGUAUAGGUUCAUUACAAAUUACCACAGAUUGUUCUGUUUGAGUCACAUUCUGUUUUUGCAUGCGAAGUUUGCUUGUUUUGAUGAUGCUAUGAAUUGUAUCAGGGUAUAAGCCAUGGAAGAGUUAGGACACAGUACCCUAUGCUAAAAUAAAAUAAUAAUCAACUUGUAAGAGAACCUGAAAGUAUUUGAUAUGUUGCUGAUACUAACGGAUCUCACAAAGUUUUGUUGAGUUUUAUGUGAUUGAAGUUUUCAAGUUUUGGGUAUUGUCCUAAUGGACAAAGGAUUGAGGAUCAGCAAAAGCCUAAGCUUGGAAAUUCCCAAGGAACCCCAAUGUAAUAUUCCAGGAAGGCUCAAGCGUCUAAGCUUGGGGAUACCCCGAAAGACAUCCCCUCUUUUCGUCUCAAUCCAUCGGUAUGUUACUUUGGGCUAUAUUUUUACUCAUCACAUGAUAUAUUUUUACUCAUCACAUAAAAUCAUUGUUUGCUGGACACACCUAUCUUAGAGAUAGACCACGUCAUCACAAUUUGUUAGAAUACUCUAUGUGCUUCACUUAUAUCUUUUGAGCUUAGCAGUUGCUCUAGUACUUCACUUAUAUCUUCUCGAGCACGGUGGCAUGUAGAUUUUAUUGAAAUAUUAUGAUCUCGUUCUUCACUUAUAUUUGUUUGAGAGAUGAACAAAUAGUGACAGUAAUUUUCAUGGGUCAUAAGACUAGAUAAAAAAUAAUGAGUAUUCAAUGAGUGAUAAUUAAAACCAUCAUGUAGCACAUAUAGAGAAAUUAUGGGUUAAUGAUAUUGAUGUGGUGAUAUGGAAAAGGUAAGAGUGCAUUAUUAUUAAUUCAGAAAGGUGUAGAUAUUAAUAGAUGUUAAACUUUGUGCUCAUCUAAAAUAUUAAAAGGGCAUGGUGAUGAUGUGUGAACAUUUCUAUUCCUCGCUGAAAUCCUAGCGUUGUUUUUAGUCGAAGACGCACGAUGGUUAAUUCCUACCAACCCUCUCCCUCAGGGCAUGCGAGUAGUACUUUGACUUGUGAUAAAACUAAUAAAACUUUCCAACAAGUAUAUGAGUUCUUCUUGACUAAUGUGACACCAUGGACAUAUGCAAUCUCACCUCCUCUUAAUUGCUAGCCUCUUCGGUAUCGUGCAUCGCCCGUUCUCACCUUGAGGGUCGGUGCGACUUUCGCCAGUGUAUCCCAACCCCGUGACAUGACACGCACUGUUGCACAUAAACCUUUUUAUAUACUCCUCAAAACAGCCACCAUAACUACCUAUCAUGGCAUUUUCGUAUACAUUCCGAGAUAUAUUGUUAUGCAAAUGUCACCGUCACUUCACAUGACUAGUUCGUUCAUAAUCAUAAUGCUUUGCAUGAUCAUAUAGAGAUGACAUAGUAACCAGUAGCAACAAAGUGACAACAGUAGAAGCAAAGUAACAGCAGUAGCGGCAAAGUAACAGUAGCAGCAGUGACAGCAGUAGCGGCAAAGUAACGUAGCAAGGACCAGUAGGAAAAAAACUCGUAGGCAUUAGAUCGGUGAUGGAUGAUUAUGUCGGAUGUUAGUCAUCAUGCAACAGCUAUAACACGGAGAGAUAUGUAACUAGCUCCAGUUCAUCAGUGUAAUGUAGGCAUGUAUUCCGUAUGUAGUCAUACGUGCUUAGGGAAAAGAACUUGCAUGACAUCUAUUGUCCAUCCCUCCCGUGGCAGAGGGGUCCUAAUGGAAACUACGGGAUAUUAAGGUUCUCCUUUUAAUAAAGAACCGGACCAACGCAUUAACACUUGGUGAAUACAUGAACUCCUCAUACUAUGGUCAUCUCCGGGAGUGGUUCUGGCUGUUGUCACUCCGGGGUUGCCGGGUCAUAACACAUAGUAGGUGACUACAACUUGCAAGAUAGGAUCAAGAACACACAUAUAUUGGCGACAACAUAAUAGGUUCAGAUCUGAAAUCAUGGCACUCGGGCCCUAGUGACAAGCAUUAAGCAUGGCAAAGUAGUAGCAACAUCAAUCUUAGAACAUAGUGGAAACUAGGGAUCAAUCCCCGUCAAAACUAACUCGAUUACAUGAUAGAUCUCAUCCAACCCAUCACCGUCGAGCAAGCCUACGACGAGAUUACUCACGAACGGUGAAGAGCAUCAUGGAAUUGGCGAUGAAGGAAGGUUGGUGAUGACGCUGGCGACGAUUUCCCCUCUCCGGAGCCCAGAACGGCCUCCAGAUCUGCCCUCCAGAGGAAGAACUGGAGGUGGCGGCGCCUCCGUAUUGUAAAACGCAAUGAACUCUUCUCCUUGAUUUUUUCGGACGAAAAGGACUAAAUAGACCUGAGAUUGGAAGCGAUGGAGCAAUGGGCCCCACAAGCCUGCCAGACGUGGCCAGGGGGGCCCACGCCUGGUGGGCUUGUGGGCUCCAUGAUCCACUUUCUCCGUUGAUUCUUGCGCCAGUAUUUUUCAUAUAUUCCACAAAAAUUCUUCGUAAAUUUUCAGGUCAUUCCGAGAACUUUUAUUUCUGCGCAAAAACAACACCAUAGAAAUUCUGCUGAAAACAGCGUUAGUCCGGGUUAGUUCCAUUCAAAUCAUGCAAAUUAGAGUCCAAAACAAGGGCAAAAGAGUUUGGAAAAGUAGAUACAACAGAGACGUAUCAACUCCCCCAAACUUAAAACCUUGCUUGUCCUCAAGCAAUUCAGUUGUCAAACUGAAAGAGACAAAAGGAAAACUUUUACGAACUCUGUUUGAUCUUGUUGUUGCAACUAUGUCUAACUCAUAUCCAGAAUUUCAGCAAGAUCACAAGCUAACCACAUAAGCAAAUGACAUCUAGGUCUCACGGUAAACUCAUAUCAAUGGCAUAAUCAACUAGCGAGCAAAUAAUAAUAAGUCUCAAACGUCAACACUUCAAUCAAAACAAUCAUGAAGCAGUACGAAUAGAUGGUAUCUCUCUAGCUCUUUCUGAGACCACAAAACAUAAAUGUAGAGCACCUUCAAAGACCAAGGGCUGACUAAACAUUGUAUUUCAUGGCAAAAAAGAUCCAGUCACAGUCAUACUCAAUCACAGUUAAAAGCAAAGCAUAAAAAUGACAGAGGUGCUCUCUAAUUGGUGCGUUUAUAAGAAGAGGAUGACUCAACAGGAACAUAAAUAGAUNNNNNNNNNNNNNNNNNNNNNNNNNNNNNNNNNNNNNNNNNNNNNNNNNNNNNNNNNNNNNNNNNNNNNNNNNNNNNNNNNNNNNNNNNNNNNNNNNNNNUAGUGGUAUAUAUAGUUUAGUUGGUAGGUUAGUUAAUUAGUAGAUUUAGUGGUAGUUUAGUUAGUUGGUAGAUUAUGUUUAGUUAGUUGGUAGUUUAGUUAGUUGGUACAUUUAGUUAGUUAAUUAGUAGAUUUAGUAGGUAGUUUAGUGGUAGAUUGUGUUUUGUUAAUUAGUGGUAGCUAGAUUGUCUUUUAGCUACUUAGUGGUAGAUUCUGUUUUUGUUAUUUUGUUGUUGUUUAGUGCUAUAUAGGUUUAGCGAUAGGUUUAGUGCUAGUUUACGUAGAUAAGGGAAGAAUAAUAAGNNNNNNNNNNNNNNNNNNNNNNNNNNNNNNNNNNNNNNNNNNNNNNNNNNNNNNNNNNNNNNNNNNNNNNNNNNNNNNNNNNNNNNNNNNNNNNNNNNNNNNNNNNNNNNNNNNNNNNNNNNNNNNNNNNNNNNNNNNNNNNNNNNNNNNNNNNNNNNNNNNNNNNNNNNNNNNNNNNNNNNNNNNNNNNNNNNNNNNNNNNNNNNNNNNNNNNNNNNNNNNNNNNNNNNNNNNNNNNNNNNNNNNNNNNNNNNNNNNNNNNNNNNNNNGAAGAUGAAGAAGAAGAAAAUGAAAUCCCGACACCACGACACCUGACACGAUGCCCCGAAUCCUCGACACGACGCCCCGACACGACAUCUCGACGACUCCCCGACACGAAAUAUUUUUUAUGGAUCCUAGAUGACAUCUAUAUAGGUCAUAUAUUUGUGUUAGGUCAUAUAUUUUUCGAUUUUAUUAAUGAACACAAAAUAUUUGUGUUCAACGGGUGGAUUUACAUGUCACAGUUGUCUCGCUGCUGUCAGGUCUGCUGUCCGAAGACCUCCCCGUGCGUUCUACGAGCUCCGCCCCUGCAUUUGUGGGUGAGUACAAAUGUCAUAUCCUCCUCGCCCCUUCAUUUUUGGUGGGUCGGUCUUCAGAUGAAACUUGCUAGAUAUAGGUAAUUAAAUUAAUUUAUCAGUAUGCGUGACCAGUAUGUGUUUGCCAUUCGAAAGGGUUACAGUUAUAAAUAUGCAUGUAUUUGCAUAUAUUUAUAACCGCGAUUCUUCCGAAUUGUCCAACGUUAUACAUGGACAACCCGAGUAUGUGUAGAUUGGGUUCAUUUUCCCAUAUGCUUUGUUCCGGAUCCGAUGCAUAAUUUCGUCAGUGCCUCCCUCUUGUUCUCCGGAUACACAUCCUCUCUGUUUAUUAUGGAGACGUGUAUCAGGAGAACAACGGGGAGAUCCUACCGAAAUUUUGCGUUGGAUCCGGAGUAGGGCAUGGGAAAAUGGACCCAAUCUACACAUACUCGGGUGGGAUUAGGACCUAUCUUUACCUAUUAGCGCGUAGGUUGCAUUGACGUAAUAAAACUGGCGAACUUGAUUAACUGAUGAAUAUAUAUGCUGAAUUAUAUAUAAAUAUAUUUCUUGUGUGUUUAGUAACUAGGCAAGAUGAGUGUGUUGGAAAUAUGCCCUAGAGGCGAUAAUAAAAUGGUUAUUAUCAUAUUUCCUUGUUCAUGAUAAUCGUCUAUUGUUCAUGCUAUAAUUGUAUUAACAGGAAACAGUAAUACAAGUGUGAAUAAAUAGAUCACAAUGUGUCCCUAGCAAGCCUCUAGUUAGCUAGCUCGUUAGUCAAUAGAUGAUCAUGGUUUCCUGAUCAUGGGCAUUAGAUGUCAUUGAUGACGGGAUCACAUCAUUGGAGAAUGAUGUGAUGGACAAGACCCAAUCCUAAGCAUAGCACUAGAUCAUAUUGUUGGUAUGCUAAAGCUUUUCUAAUGUCAAGUGUAUUUUAUUUCAACCGUGAGAUUGUGCAACUCCCGGAUACCGUAGGAGUGCUUUGGGUGUAUCAAACGUCACAACAUAACUGGGUGACUAUAAAGGUGCACUACGGGUACCUCCGAAAGUGUCUGUUGGGUUGGUACGAAUCGAGAUCGGGAUUUGUCACUCCGUGUGACGGAGAGGUAUGUCUGGGCCCACUCGGUAGAACAUCAUCAUGAGCUCAAUGUGACUAAGGAGUUAGUCACAUGAUGACGUGCUACGGAACGAGUAAAGAGACUUACCGGUAAUGAGAUUGAACAAGGUAUAGGUAUACCGGCGAUCGAAUCUCGGGCAAGUUCUAUACCGACAAACAAAGGGAAUCGUAUACGGGAUUGAUUGAAUCCUUGACAUCGUGGUUCAUCCGAUGAGAUCAUCGUGGAGCAAGUGGGAGCCACCAUGGAUAUCCAGACCCCACUGAUGGUUAUUUGUCGGAGAGGCGUCUCGGUCAUGUCUGCCUGUCUCCCGAACCCGUAGGGUCUACACACUUAAGGUUCGAUGACACUAGGGUUAUAGGGAAUUUUUAUACGAGGUUACUGAAAGUUGUUCGGAGUCUCGGAUGAGAUCCCGGACGUCACAAGGAGCUCCUAAAUGGUCCGAAGGUAAAGAUUGAUAUAUAGGACGGAUGGUUUGGGACACCGGAAGUGUUUCGGGCAUCACCGGUAACGUACCGGGACCACCGGGACCAUCGGAGGUGGCCCCGGGGAUCCACCGAAGGGUGGCAACGACCCCGGGAGGUAAGAUGGGCCAAGUGGGGAAGGGAACCAGCCCCUAGGUGGGCUGGUGCACCUCCCCACUCAGCCCAAUGCACAGGCGAGAGGGAAGGGGGGGGCAAACCCUAAGCCAGGUGGGCCUAAGGCCCACCAGGUGGUGCGCCACCCCCUCCCACCCUAGCCGCCGCACCUGUUUCCCAUCUGGUGGCUGCCACACCACCUAGGGGGGAACCCUAGGGGUGGCGCACCCCCCUCCCCCUCCUCCUAUAAAUAGAGAGGGGUUUUGGCCCUUGGGAGAUAGACUUUUCCCUCUCUCUCGGCGCAGCCCUACCCUUCUUCCUCCUCCUCUCUGUCGGUGCUUGGCGAAGCCCUACCAGGAGACCUCGUCUCUCCAUCGACACCAUGCCGUCGUGCUGCUAGAGUUCUUCCCCCAACCUCUCCCUCCUCCUUGCUGGAUCAAGGUGCGGGAGACGUCACCGGGCUGCACGUGUGUUGAACGCGGAGGUGUCGUAGUUCGGCACUAGAUCGGAAUCGCUGCGAGUACGACUCCAUCAACCGCGUUCUAGCAACGCUUCCGCUUAGCGAUCUUCAAAGGUAUGAAGAUGCUCUUACCCCUCUCUCGUUGCUGGUCUCUCCAUAGGAAGAUCUGAAUAUGUACGUAACCCAACAGUGGCAUCUGAGCCAGGUUUUCUAUGCGUAGAUUCUAUGCACGAGUAGAACACAAAAGUUGUGGGCGAUGAUUUGUCAAUUUGCUUGCCGCUACUAGUCUUAUUAUUUUCCGGCGGUAUUGUGGGAUAAAGCGGCCCGGACCGACUUUAGACGUACGCUUACGUGAGACUGGUUCCACCGACAGACAUGCACACCGUGCAUAAAGGUGGCUAGCGGGUGUCUGUCUCUCCUACUCUAGUCGGAUUGGAUUUGAUGAAAAGGGUCCUUAUGAAGGGUAAAUAGCUUUGGCGUAUCAUCAUUGUGGCUGUCACGUAGGUAAGAAGGCGUUCUUGCUAGAAACCCAAAUCAGCCACGUAAAACUUGCGACAACAAUUAGAGGACGUCUAACUUGUUUUUGCAGGGUUUGACAUGUGAUGUGAUAUGGCCAAAGUUGUGAUGUUGCAUGUAUGAUGUAUCAGAUGAUCAUGUUAUUGUAAUAGGUUUCACGACUUGCAUGUUGAUGAGUAUGAAAAUCGGCAGGAGCCAUAGGAGUUGUCUUAAUUUAUUGUAUGAGAUGCAACGCCAUGUGCUUACUACUUUUACUUCAUUGCUAAUGGUUAGCUAUAGUAGUAGUGAUAGUAGUAGUUGGCGUGACGACUUCAUGGAGACAUGAUGAUGGAGAUCAUGGUGUCACGCUGGUGACGAUGAUGAUCAUGCGAUGCCUGAAGAUGAGAUCGAAAGGGCGAAGAUGAUAAUGGCCAUAUCAUGUCACUAUAUGAUUGCAAUGUGAUGUUUAUCAUGUUCUACAUCUUAUUGCUUAGAACGACGGUAGCAUAAUAAGAUGAUCCCUCUUAAAAUUUCGAGAACGUAUUACCUUAAGUGUGCAUAGUUGCGAAGGUUCAUUGUCUCGAAGCACCACGUGAUGAUCGGGCGUGAUAGAUUCUAACGUUCGCAUACAACAGGUGUAAGCCAGAUUUACACACGCGAAACACCUAGGUUGACUCGACGAGCUUAGCAUGUACAGACAUGACCUCGAAUACAAGAGACCGAAAGGUCGAACAUGAGUCGUAUGGUUGAAUACGAUCAUCAUUAAGUUGCUCACCAUGGUGACUAGUCCGUCUCACGUGAUGAUCGGACACGGGUUAGUCAACAUGGAUCAUGUAUCACUUAGAUACCUAGAGGGAUAUCGAUUUAAGUGGGAGUUCAUACUUAAUUUGAUUAAAUGAACUUAAUUGUCAUGAACUUAGUCUAAAAGUUGUCUUUAUAAAUAUUGUAGAUGGCCAACGUCAACCUCAAUUUCAACGCAUUCCUAGAGAAAAACAAGCUGAAAGAUGAUGGUAGCAACUAUGCGGACUGGGUUCGCAACUUGAAGCUCAUCCUUGAAGCAGCUAAAAAGGCUUGUGUCCUUGAUGCGCCGCUAGGUGACCCUCCCGCUCCCGCAGCAGCCGAGGACAUUCUGAACGUCUGGCAAGCGCGGAGUGAUGACUACUCUCUCGUUAGGUGUGGCAUGUUAUAUAGUUUAGAAACGGGGCUCCAAAGGCGUUUUGAGCAACACGAAGCAUAUGAGAUCUUCCAAGAGCUAAAGCUAGUUUUUCAAGCUCAUGCCCGUGUCGAGAGAUAUGAAGUCUCCGACAAGUUCUUUAGAUGUAAGAUGGAGGAGAACAGUUAUGUCAGUGUGCACAUACUCAAAAUGUCUGGGUUACACGAUCGUCUGACUUCACUUGAAGUCGAACUUCCGGAUGAUGCUAUAAUUGACAGAAUCCUCUAGUCUCUCCCACCAAGCUACAAAGGCUUUGUGCUUAACUACAACAUGCAAGGGAUGGAGAAGACCAUUCCCGAGUUGUACUCGAUGCUCAAGUAUGCAGAAGUAGAAAUCAAGAAAGAGCAUCAAGUGUUGAUGGUCAACAAGACCACUAGUUUCAAGAAAGGCAAGGGUAAGAAGAACUUCAAGAAAGACGGCAAAGCUGUUGCCGCGCCCGGUAAGCCAGAUGCCGGGAAGAGGAAAAAGAAUGGACCCAAGCCUGAGACUGAGUGCUUCUAUUGCAAGGGAAAGGGUCACUGGAAGCGGAACUGCCCCAAAUACUUAGCGGACAAGAAGGCCGGCAACGUUAAAGGUAUAUGUGAUAACAUGUUAUUGAUGUGUACCUUACCAGCGCUCGUAGUAGCUCCUGGGUAUUUGAUACCGGUGAUGUUGCUCACAUUUGCAACUCAAAGCAGGAACUGCGGAAUAAGCGGAGACUGGCCAAGGACGAGGUGACGAUGCGCGUCGGAAAUGGUUCAAAGGUCGAUGUGAUCGCCGUCGGCACGCUACCUCUAGAUCUACCGUCGGCAUUAGUCUUAAACCUUAAUAAUUGUUAUUUAGUACCAGCUUUAAGCAUGGACAUUGUAUCAGGGUCUUGCUUAAUGCGAGACGGCUAAUCAUUUAAGUCAGAGAAUAUUGGUUGUUCUAUUUAUAUGAGUGAUAUGUUUUAUGAUCAUGCUCCGCUGGUGAAUGGUUUAUUCUUGAUGAAUCUCGAUCGUGAUGUUACACAUAUUCAUAGUGUGAGUACCAAAAGAUGUAAAGUUGAUAAUGAUAGUCCCACAUACUUGUGGCACUGCCGCCUUGGUCAUAUCGGCGUUAAGCGCAUGAAGAAGCUCCAUACUGAUGGACUAUUAGAGUCUCUUGACUUUGAAUCAUUUGACACAUGCGAACCGUGCCUCAUGGGCAAGAUGACUAAGACUCCAUUCUCAGGAAUAAUGGAGAGAGCAACCGACUUAUUGGAAAUAAUACAUACUGAUGUGUGUGGUCCAAUGAACGUUGAAGCUCGCGGUGGCUGUCGUUAUGUUCUCACUCUCACCGAUGAUUUGAGUAGGUAUGGGUAUAUCUACUUGAUGAAGCACAAAUCUGAGACAUUUGAAAAUUUCAAGGAAUUUCAGAGUGAGGUCGAGAAUCAACGUGACAGAAAAAUCAAGUGUCUACGAUCUGAUCGUGAAGGAGAAUAUUUGAGUCACGAGUUUGGCACACACCUAAGGAAGUGUGGAAUCGUUUCACAACUAACGCCGCCUGGCACACCGCAACGCAACGGAGUGUGUGAACAUCGUAAUCGCACUUUAUUAGAUAUGGUACGAUCUAUGAUGUCUCUUACCGACUUACCACUAUCAUUUUGGGGAUAUGCAUUAGAAACUGCAGCAUUCACUUUAAAUAGGGUACCGUCUAAAUCCGUUGAGACGACACCGUAUGAACUAUGGUUUGGCAAGAAACCUAAGUUAUCGUUUCUUAAAGUUUGGGGCUGCGAUGCUUAUAUGAAGAAACUUCAACCAGAAAAGCUCGAACCCAAAGCGGAUAAAUGCGUAUUCAUAGGAUACCCUAAAGGAACUAUUGGGUAUACCUUCUAUCUUAGAUCCGAAGGUAAAACCUUUGUUGCCAAGAACGGAUCCUUUCUAGAGAAAGAGUUUUCUCGAAAGAAGUAAGUGGGAGGAAGGUAGAACUUGAUGAGGUAAUUACACCCCCUCUCGAACAGGAUAGUAGCGCAGCGCGGGAAGUUGUUCCUGUGGCGCCUACACCAACUGAGGAGGAAGUUAAUGAUGAUGAUCAUGAAGCUUCGAAUCAAGUUACUACUGAACCGCGAAGGUCCACAAGGGCACGCUCUGCACCAGAGUGGUACGACAACCCUGUGGUGGAGAUCAUGUUGUUAGACAACCGUGAACCUUCGAACAAUGAAGAAGCGAUGGCGGCCCGGAUUCCAACAAAUGGCUUGAGGCUAUGAAAUCCGAGAUAGGAUCCAUGUAUGAGAACAAAGUAUGGACUUUGGUGGACUUGCCUGAUGACCGGCGAGCCAUAGAAAAUAAAUGGAUCUUCAAGAAGAAGACUGAUGCAAACGGUAAUGUAACCGUUUACAAAGCUCGACUUGUCGCAAAGGUUUUUCGAGAAAUUCAAGGAGUUAACUACGAAGAGACUUUCUCUCCCGUAGCGAAGCUGAAAUCAGUCUAAAUCAUGUUAGCAAUUGCCGCCUUUUAUGAUUAUGAAAUUUGGCAAAUGGACGUCAAAACAGCGUUCCUUAACGGGAACCUUAAGGAAGAGUUGUAUAUGAUGCAACCAGAAGGUUUUGUCGACCCUAAGGGUGCUAACAAAGUGUGCAAGCUCCAGUGCUCCAUCUAUGGGCUGGUGCAAGCAUCUCCGAGUUGGAACAUUCGCUUUAAUGAGGUGAUUAAAGCGUUUGGGUUCAUACAGGUUUACGGAGAAACCUGUCUGUAUGAGAAAGUGAGUGGGAGCUCUGUAGCUUUCCUCAUACUGUAUGUGGAUGACAUAUUAUUGAUGGGGAAUAAUAUAGAGAUGUUGGAGAGCAUAAAGGCCUAUUUGAACAAGAGUUUUUCAAUGAAGGACCUUGGAGAAGCUGCAUACAUAUUAGGCAUCAAGAUCUAUAGAGAUCGAUCGAGACGCCUCAUAGGUCUUUCGCAAAGCACAUACCUUGACAAGAUAUUGAAGAAGUUCAAUAUGGAUAACUCAAAGAAAGGGUUCUUGCCAGUUUUGCAAGGUAUGAGAUUGAGUAAGACUCAGUCGCUGACCACGGCAGCAGAAAGAGAGAAGAUGAGUUAUGUCCCCUACGCUUCAGCCGUGGGCUCUCUAAUGUAUGCCAUGCUGUGUACCAGACCUGAUAUAAACCUUGCCAUAAGUUUGGUAGGGAGGUACCAAAGUGAUUCCGGUAUGGAACACUGGACAGCGGUCAAGAAUAUCCUUAAGUACCUGAAAAGGACUAAGGAAAUGUUUCUCGUUUAUGGAGGUGACGAAGAGCUCGUCGUAAAGGGUUACGUCGACGCUAGCUUCGACACAGAUCCGGGUGACUCUAAGUCACAGACCGGAUACGUAUAUGUGUUGAAUGGUGGGGUAGUGAGCUAGUGCAGCAGCAAGCAAGAAGUCGUGGCAGCAUCUACAUGUGAAGCGGAGUACAUAGCUGCUUCAGAAGCAACUCAUGAAGGAAUUUGGAUGAAGGAGCUCAUCACCGACCUUGGAGUGGUUCCAAGCGCGUCGGGUCCAAUGACACUCUUCUGUGAUAACACUGGGGCCAUUGCCAUAGCCAAGGAGCCCAGGUUUCACUGGAAGACGAAGCACAUCAAAUGCCGCUACAACUCCAUCCAGGACCAUGACCAGAGUGGAGUGAUAGAUAUUUGUAAAGUACACACGGAUCUGAAUGUUGCAGACCCGUUGACUAAACCUCUUCCACGAGCAAAACAUGAUCAACACCAUAAUGCUAUGGGUGUUCAAUACAUCACAAUGUAACUAGAUUAUUGACUCUAGUGCAAGUGGGAGACUGUUGGAAAUAUGCCCUAGAGGCAAUAAUAAAAUGGUUAUUAUCAUAUUUCCUUGUUCAUGAUAAUCGUCUAUUGUUCAUGCUAUAAUUGUAUUAAGAGGAAAGAGUAAUACACGUGUGAAUAAAUCGAUCACAAUGUGUCCGUAGCAAGCCUCUAGUUAGCUAGCUCGUUAGUCAAUAGAUUAUCAUGGUUUCCUGAUCAUGGGCAUUAGAUGUCAUUGAUGACGGGAUCACAUCAUUGGAGAAUGAUGUGAUGGACAAGACCCAAUCCUAAGCAUAGCACUAGAUCGUAUUGUUCAUAUGCUAAAGCUUUUCUAAUGUCAAGUGUCUUUUCCUUCGACCGUGAGAUUGUGCAACUCCCGGAUACCGUAGGAGUGCUUUGGGUGUAUCAAACGUCACAACGUAACUGGGUGACUAUAAAGGUGCACUACGGGUACCUCUGAAAGUGUCUUUUGGGUUGGUACGAAUCGAGAUCGGGAUUUGUCACUCCGUGUGACAGAGAGGUAUCUCUGGGCCCACUCAGUAGAACAUCAUCAUGAGCUCAAUGUGACUAAGGAGUUAGUCACACGAUGACGUGCUACGGAACGAGUAAAGAGACUUACCGGUCACGAGAUUGAACAAGGUAUAGGUAUACCGACGAUCGAAUCUCGAGCAAGUUCUAUACCGACAGACAAAGGGAAUCGUAUACGGGAUUGAUUGAAUCCUUGACAUCAUGGUUCAUCCGAUGUGAUCACUGUGGAGCAAGUGGGAGACACCAUGGGUAUCUAGACCCCGCUGAUGGUUAUUGGCCGGAGAGGCGUCUCGGUCAUGUCUGCUUUUCUCCCGAACCCGUAGGGUCUACACACUUAAGGUCCGAUGACGCUAGGGUUAUAGGGAAUUGUUAUACGAGGUUACCGAAAGUUGUUCGGAGUCCCAGAUGAGAUCCCGGACAUCACGAGGAGCUCCGUAAUGGUCCGGAGGUAAAGAUUGAUAUAUAGGACGGAUGGUUUCGGACACCGGAAGUCUUUCGGGCAUCAUCGGUAACGUACCGGGACCACCGGGACCACCGAAGGGGGCAACGACCCCGGGAGGUAAGAUGGGCCGAGUGGGGAAGGGAACCACCCCUAGGUGGGCUGGUGCGCCUCGCCACUCUGCCCAAUGCGCAGGGGAGAGAGAAGGGGGGGGCAAACCCUAAGCCAGGUGGGCCUAAGGCCCACCAGGUGGUGCGCCACCCCCUCCCACCCUAGCCGCCACCCCCCUUUCCCAUCUGGUGGCUGCCGCACCACCUAGGGGGUAACCCUAGGGGUGGUGCACUCCCUCCACCUCCUCCUAUAAAUAGAGAGGGGUUUUGGCCCUUGGGAGAUAGACUUUUCCCUCUCUCUCAGCGCAGCCCUGCCCUUCUUCCUCCUCCUCUUUGUCGGUGCUUGGCGAAGCCCUGCCGGGAGACCUCGUCUCUCCAUCGACACCAUGCCGUCGUGCUGCUGGAGUUCUUCCCCAGCCUCUCCCUCCUGCUUGCUGGAUCAAGGUGCGGGAGACGUCACCGGGCUGCACGUGUGUUGAACGCGGAGGUGCCGUAGUUUGGCACUAGAUCGGAAUCGCUGCGAGUACGACUCCAUCAACCGCAUUCUAGCAACGCUUACACUUAGCGAUCUUCAAAGGUAUGAAGAUGCUCUUACCCCUCUCUCGUUGCUGGUCUCUCCAUAGGAAGAUCUGAAUAUGCGUAGGAAAAUUUUGAAUUUAUGCUACGUAACCCAACAGAGUGAUCGUGCGUGGAUGUACACGGGUCACCCUAGUCAGAAAGAGAUGAUGAAAGAAUGGUUUCUAAAAACCAAGGAGUUUGUGAAAGCCGCAUUUGCAAAUGUGCAGGAAACAAACUGGUGCCCUUGUCCUGAAUGCGACAACUAUAACAAAAGGACAGAUGCUGUAAUGAUUAAACACCUGCAGAGGAGGGGUUUUAAGCCUAAUUAUACGGUUUGGACAUUUCUUGGUGACUCUAUACAACGCACUAGAGCUGAGGUGGUUCAUCGUCGCACCGACGAGCAUGGUACCGGGAUCGAAGACAUGGUGCAAGACUUUGAUGAUGCUCGGGAUUCGGCAGAUGAGAUGGAGGAAUCUGCAAAGGCCUUCUAUGAAAUGUUGGAGUCUUCAAAACGUCCUCUCCAUGAGCACACUGAGCUUUGUCAGUUGGAUGCCAUUGCACAAGUAAUGGCUCUGAAGGCUCAGUUCAACUUGGGAAGAGAAUCCUAUGACGCGAUGAUGACACUAUUUGGACGCUUUCUACCCAAAGGCCAUGUCAUGCCUGCAAAACUAUACCAGUCAGACAAAAUACUUCGUGUACUUAAGAUGCCCUAUGAGAAGAUACAUGCAUGUGAGAAAGGAUGUGUCUUAUUUAGGAAGGAGUAUGCACACUUGGACUAUUGUCCCAAUUGGAAGUCUUGCAGGUAUCUUGUGGCAGACAACGGUAUGGGUGAGAAGAGGCUGACCAAAGUUGCAGUUAGUGUUCUUCCGUAUAUGCCAAUCAUACCAAGGCUUCAACAUCUUUUGAUGGUCGAAGAGACAGCCAGAUAGAUGACAUGGCACAAAAUGGGCAAAAGAAUCGACCUAGAUGCGGAUGGGAAUAAGAUGGCAGUACACACAUUGGAUGGGGAAGCUUGGAAACAUUUUGAUGGAUUGCAUCACGAUAAAGCGGCAGAUCCGAGGAAUCCUCGAGUCUGCAUCGCCACAGAUGGUUUUAAUCCCUUCAGCAUGACGGCAACCCAAUACAAUAGUUGGCAUGUAUUUGUCAUUCCACUCAAUCUCCCCCCGGGCAGAUUAUGCAAAGAAAGAACAUAUUUCUAACAUUGAUAAUUCCAGGGCCCAAUUAUCGGGGGAAGAAUAUGAAUGUGUACAUGCAGCCGCUUAAGGAUGAAUUGCAAGAAGCUUGGGACAAUGGGGUCAAGACAUACGAUGCCGCUAGAAAAGAGAACUUCAAAAUGCAUGUGUGGUACAUGUACUCUAUGCAAGACUUGUCGGCGUAUGCGCUAUUCUACGGAUGGUGCGUGCAUGGAAGGUUCCCGUGCCCCACAUUCAAGGCAGCUCUUCAGUUUCAUUGGUUGCAGGAGGGUCAGAAGUAUUCUUGCUUUGACUUGCAUAGACAGUUCCUAGAUCCUGGCCAUCAAUUCAGAAAAGACAAGAAGAACUUUACCAAAGGUAAAGUUGUCAAAAACUUGGCACCACCUGUGUUGACAGGCCAACAGAUCCUGGAUCAGUUAAACGCCCUCGAGCCUGAUCCAAAGCGUCCAGGGUAUUUCAAGGGGUAUAAUUCAAAACACGCCUGGACUCACAAGCCAUGCUUGUGGGAUCUGCCUUACUUCAAAGACCUCCUUCUUCCACACAAUAUCGACAUGAUGCACACCGAAAAGAAUAUCAGAGAGGCUAUUUUUGGUACAUUGUUCGACAUAGAUGGGAAGACAAAGGAUAAUACUAAGGCUAGAGUCAAUCAAGAGACACUAUGUCACAGACCGUUACAAAACAUGCGAGAAGGCAAAGGAAAGCAGAAGUGGUCGAAGCCAAAGGACUGGUUCAAUCUUGGAAGGCCAGCUAUGAGGGAAAUUAUAUUGUGGGUCAAAAUGCACUUGAUGUUCCCCGAUGGGUAUGCAGCGAAUCUAAAGAGGGGAGCGAGUCUUGAAAAAAAUAAAAAUCUUGGUCUCAAGAGUCAUGAUUGGCACAUAUGGCUUGAGCGGGUAAUGCCGGUGAUGUUACGUGGCUUUAUUCCUGAGGAUGAAUGGCUAGUACUGGCGGAGCUGAGCUAUUUCUUCCGUGUUAUUUGUGAGAAAGAAUUGUCUCCUAGCGUGGUAGAUGACAUGGAAGAGUUUGCACCGGAGUUUCUAUGCAAGUUAGAGAAGAUCUUUCCGCCGGGCUUCUUUAAUCCAAUGCAGCAUUUGAUUUUACAUCUACCGACCGAGGCAAGAUUGGGUGGGCCCGUGCAAAAUUAUUGGUUCUAUGCAACUGAGAGGAUGCAGAAGACGCUUCGAGCUAAAUGUAAAAAUAAGCGUAGAGUUGAAGCAUCGAUGGUUAAGGCAUUCAUUACUGAGGAGGUGGCAAACUUUGUGACAGCACACUAGGAAGCCAAAUAUCAUCAUUUGCAUAAUCCGUAGCCUCGGUACAAUGAUGAAGACCCUAAAAGGGGUGGAUCUAACCUCAGCCUAUUCAAAGGGAAGCUCGCACCAGCUGGUGCUUCGAAACCAAUAACGUUGGAUGUCGAAGAAUGGCGAAACAUUUCGUUGUAUAUCUUCAACAACCUAACAGAAGUGCGGUUGUACAUCGAGUAAGUUCUCGACACAUUUUUUCAUAACUUCUAAUUCCUUUGAACUGCUCUUAUUCCUGGAUAUUUCAUACAGCCGAUACGUUGCCAAAUUCUCGGAUGGAGUGGUGACCCAAAAUGAUUUCGUCGAAGAGUAUGAGCUUCUAGCAAAUCAUGGAGGCGGCUAUCCCGGUUUCAUCUCUUGGUUCAAACAAACGGUAAUUAUCAAUAAUGGACCAUUUCAUUUCUUGGUCUAACUUUCGGCUAAUGCAACAAUCAUUUCGUAUUAAACUUGUAGGCUAAUUCAGAGUCUAUGGCCGCCGAGUUGAGACAAGCCGCUAAUGGUUUUGACUAUAAGGUCCAUUCAUUUGAGAAAUACAACAUCAAAGGGUAUCUCUUUGGUACCUUUCGCAAAGAGCUAUCUAUGCCCGACCGGAAAUCUACCAAUUGUGGUGUCUCUGCUAUCGGCAAAGGCGGUCUCGAGUAUUAUGGAAGGGUUGAAGCAAUUUAUGAACUUCAAUUAUAUGGUGAAAACCCACCGAACGUCGUAGUCUUGAAAUGUUCUUGGUUCCAUCCAAAGGAGACUACAAGGACUCAUGAACAUAUAGGACUAGUCAAAAUCUAUCCAAACACCCAUUUAGAUGUUCCCGAUGUCUAUAUUACGGCUCAACACGCGACCCAAGUUUUCUAUCUACCAUGGGCAUGCCAAACUGAUAAGAAUCUGGAAGGUUGGUAUGUUGUUUAUGAAGUGCAGCCACGUGUUAAACCAUCUCCCCCAAAUGAACAAGAUUAUGAACCUCACAUUAACUCAAACACAUAUGAUGGAGAAUUCUUCCAAGAAACACCUAUUUCCAAGAAACGUUUCAAGAACCGCCAUGCUUCACCCCAGAACAUGGAAGUAGACAACGACAAUGAAUCCAACUUCACCCCUGAGACGGAACCAACAGAGCUGGAACUAGAAGAGGUUACUGAUGGGAUGACCUGUCAAUGCUUGACUGAUUACAGAAACGCCUUCCACAACUUCAUUCGUUCAACCCGAUGAGCAUGUCAUUCAUGAAGAAAUGCGUGAUAGUGAUGAUGAUGAUGCAUUUAUUGAUGAUGAUUAUUAGUUUGUAAGAUUCCCAACUUAAAUUAUAUAUGUACGUAUUAUUAUUCAUGUGAGUUAUUCAAUUUUUUUAUGUUGUACUAAUUUAUUUUAAUCUUUAUCAUGGCAGGUCAGCAUGUGUUGAAAGAUGGUGGGCGCGGGUCUAGAUCGCUCAACAGGUUCUUCUUCGGCGGCCCGCACGAGGGGUGGUACUUCCAUUCCACCCCUAUGUCUCCGUAGAGCCUUUCCAGUCAGUCUGACGACACCACCCACGGGUGCUUCUUCGUCGGCGGCAUUGCCCACUGGGAGAGGUGCUGGCCGGGCAGGGAAGAAGGGGAAGGGUAUAGGGAGAGGUGGUGGCCGCGGAAGAGGUAGGCGGACUGUUGCGCCGUCCUCGUCACCACCACCAGCUCAUUCAUCCGAGCACAGGACUACUAUGGUGGACCCGUUUGCGGAGGAGGCUACGGGGACUCUAGUCUAGGAGCCUCGGGUGGACGGGCAUUCGGACCAUGAGACUCCGGUCCAGGAUUAGCCUCGGGUCGAGGUGCCUUCGGCCCACGAGACUCCGGUUCCUGAGGCUACGUCCUUGGAGACUUCUGCCACACACGCUUCGGCCGGCGUGGAGACGUCCGGAUGGGGUGCCUGGUCGGAUCGGACCGAGGUGCCGGAUUGGACCGAGGGUCCGAGUGGCUAUUCUGUUGAUGGCGGGGAUGAGUCUACGGAUAGUGAGGGUGACGUGCAGGUGGACGGGGCCACCGUGUACAGGCAUGGUAGUAUACGUCUCCCAGUCGCGUCGGCUACCAGCGAGCAGAGGCCGGUGAUUAAGCGUGAAGGGGAUAGGUAAGUACGUUUACUCUUUUUUUAGCUGCUGCCUUCAAGUUCCUUCAAAUAUCUAAUGCGUUGACCUUAUCAUACAGCAGGGGCUGGAAACACCCUGGUGGAGUCGACAAGCCAAACAGCAUCCUUGGUGUGCUUUGUCGGACAAAUUUCUCGGGGUUUGUCACGUUGCCUGGUGAGGGUCAGGUUCCUACACUAGGAUUUUCCUCGGAGCACUACCAGGCUGUGCAGGCCCCGUCGGAGGACAUUAUAGAUGGUGCCUUGUGCCACACGAGGGCCGAUAUGAUGAUCAACAACUUUUGGGCAAAUUAUCCUUUUACACAAUCUAAAAUUAACAAUAUAGCUAAUUAUUGUACUAAUCGGUGUUGUCUCGUUUGAUUGCAGACCUUCUAUACGUGUGAGGAGGAGGCGGCCAAGGUUAUCAAGGCCGAGUGUAGGCGGUUAUUACAGAAUUUACGCCACAAGGCUCGGCCGCGGGCCAUUCGAGACUACUAUGCCACGAUUGGUAUUAAGAAGCAGAAGAAGGAGUGCCGCGGAAAGUAUCUGAAGGAGGAGUACAUGAAGGUAAUUACCUAUUCUUAAGGCCUUGUAUGUAGUUUUCUUGAUUUGAUUCAUAGGUGUAGCGCUCAAAAUUCGAGCCGACCACGACAAUGCAAAGGAUCAGCGUAGCAAAAUGGUUGGUGUGCCACACCAUCAAGGGAGCGCCAACUUACUUCAGUUCGGACGAAACUGGGUAUGUGGUUUGCUUCAUGAUUCAUGCAAUUCAUUCUUCAUGCUAGCUUGAGCCCCUUACUAAUACUUUGUUCCUCUCUUUUAGGCGCACCAUAAUAAGAUGGAGAUGCCAAAGUUCUACGACCUUUAUGGCAUGGCCCAUACCGCCUCGUACAAGAAGGUGAAGGCAUUCUGUGAGUCUAACCUGGAUGAUCCAAAUAACUUCACCAGCAUCUCAUCCCACCACAAGCUCAUGAAAUACAGGUACACAGGAAAGGCUUGGAAAGGGGAGGACUUUAACCCAAGCCAGGAACCUUUGGAUCCAGAGCUCGUGAUGAUAUCUGGUGGCGGGAGGCCCCAUGGCUCGAUAGCCAUUGGAGAUGGGAUAAUACGUUGUCCACUCACUCUCCCGGAGAUCAAGGCGCGCCAGUCAAGCUCCUGUCCUAAGAUAACGCCUGGUCCACGGGCAGUCGAUCUUGCCAUCGAGGUUAGUUGUACGGACUCAGAAAACUUCCAUCCAUUUCAUUGUGUGUGUGCCAUCGAUCAUUACUGUGGUAGCGAGGAAUGGUGUUGCAGGUUGCUCUUAAGAAAGAGAGAGUGGCAAACGAAGCUGCUCUUGAGAAAGAGAGAGCCGCAAGCCAGGCUGCUCUUGAGGAGAGAGACCAGACCACAGCUCGGUUGAUUGAGGGGGAGAGGGCCCGCAAUGAGGUGGCUCACCUCGUCAUGUACGAGCUUAUUGUGGUAAGUUUCUUUUUCACAUUAGCCAAAUCAUGUGUGUAAUGUAUGCUUCAUUACUAACUAAUACGACUGACUCUUCAAAACCGAAUGUGCAGUCUAUGUACGAGAAUACCGGUCAAGCCCCUUCACCGAUGCCCAUCUUCUGUGCGAUUGGCACGGUGAGUUUCAUAUCAAUGGUCAUUAUAAACUAGUAUUAACAAUUGAGUGUCAUCAUGCUAACCGAGACAUUGCAAAAUAUCUUUUCUGCAGAAUAACUCCCGAGAGGCAUCGCACGACCCUUCUCCAGGGCAACUGUCUCCAAACGAAGCCGACGCAAGGACCCUGGUGUUUCUCCUCCUUCAUGACCAAUGUGGUAAGUUUUCUCCAAAAUGACAAAAUAAGCUCCUACUUGAUUUCUACUAGGAAAAAUAGUUAGUGAAACCACUAGGUUCAUAACUUAGCUAAUUUAGCUCCAAAAUGGUUAGUGAAACCACUAGUCUCAUAACUUAGCUAAUUUAGCUCCAAAAUGACAUAAUAAGCUCGAUUGAAAUAGUAAAAAUGAAAAGAAGAAAUAAGAAGAAGAAGAGAAGNNNNNNNNNNNNNNNNNNNNNNNNNNNNNNNNNNNNNNNNNNNNNNNNNNNNNNNNNNNNNNNNNNNNNNNNNNNNNNNNNNNNNNNNNNNNNNNNNNNNNNNNNNNNNNNNNNNNNNNNNNNNNNNNNNNNNNNNNNNNNNNNNNNNNNNNNNNNNNNNNNNNNNNNNNNNNNNNNNNNNNNNNNNNNNNNNNNNNNNNNNNNNNNNNNNNNNNNNNNNNNNNNNNNNNNNNNNNNNNNNNNNNNNNNNNNNNNNNNNNNNNNNNNCUUCUCCUCCUCCUCCUUAUUCUUCUUAUUCUUCUUCUCCUUCUUCUCUUCUUUCUUCUUCUCUUUCUUCUUAAAUUUAGCUUAUUUUCCCCAACAAAGACAUACUUAGCUAAUUAUCCUCCAAAAUGACAUAAUUAGCUUAGUUAGGCAAAAACAUCAUAAGAACCUUGGUUAGCUCAUUAAAAUGACUAAUUAAGCUCCUAAAAGACAUUAUAAGCUCAAAAUGGCAUAAGAACCUUGGUUAGCUCAUUAAUAUUAUAUACUUAGCUUGUUUUCCUCUAUAAUGACAUAAUUUGCCCAUUUAGCUCNUCAAAAUGAUAUAAUUAGCUUAGUUAGGUAAAAACAUCAUAAGGACCUUGGUUAGCUCAUUAAAAUGACUAAUUAAGAUCCUAAAAGACAUUAUAAGCUCCAAAUGGCAUAAGAACCUUGGUUAGCUCAUUAAUAUUAUAUACUUAGCUUGUUUUCCUCUAUAAUGACAUAAUUUGCCCAUUUAGCUCNGGAGUGCUUUAGUUCUAGUUUUCAUUUGAGUUGAUGAACAAUGUGGAACUAUAUGUAUAUGUAUAUAUGGAUGAAGAAUAUAUGUGGAACUACAUGUAUAUGUAAAUAUUGCUGAAACUUUGUUUAUGUUGGUUAUUUUGAUAUAUGCGAUGUACAUUGAUGAACAAAUGGCAUUGAUGAACUUUAUAUGUAUAUCAUAUAUGUGUUCUGACCUAUAUAUCAUAUCUGUGCUAUGAAUUAUAUAUAAAUAUAUUUCUUGUGUGUUUAGUAACUAGGCAAGAUGAGUGUGUUGGAAAUAUGCCCUAGAGGCGAUAAUAAAAUGGUUAUUAUCAUAUUUCCUUGUUCAUGAUAAUCGUCUAUUGUUCAUGCUAUAAUUGUAUUAACAGGAAACAGUAAUACAAGUGUGAAUAAAUAGAUCACAAUGUGUCCCUAGCAAGCCUCUAGUUAGCUAGCUCGUUAGUCAAUAGAUGAUCAUGGUUUCCUGAUCAUGGGCAUUAGAUGUCAUUGAUGACGGGAUCACAUCAUUGGAGAAUGAUGUGAUGGACAAGACCCAAUCCUAAGCAUAGCACUAGAUCAUAUUGUUGGUAUGCUAAAGCUUUUCUAAUGUCAAGUGUAUUUUAUUUCAACCGUGAGAUUGUGCAACUCCCGGAUACCGUAGGAGUGCUUUGGGUGUAUCAAACGUCACAACAUAACUGGGUGACUAUAAAGGUGCACUACGGGUACCUCCGAAAGUGUCUGUNGCGGAUGGCAAAGGCCUUUGCCAUCAGGCAGCUGAUGGCAAAGGUGCCACGUGGCACCCAGCUGUGCAACCUGGGCAGCAACAGUUGGCCGUAUGGGCUCUUUGUCGUCCGCUGCCUCGGGAGGCUAACGGCACAGCGGUAGGGAGGCAAACGGCAAAGAGUAUGAUCCCUGCGCUGGCCCAACUCUGUGCUGGCCAUAGAAGCAGAUGACAAAGAGGGGGAGGGACGCAGACGACAAAGAGAGGGAGGGAGGCAUACGACAAAGAGAGGGAGGAAGGAAGAUGGCAACUAGAGGGAGGAAGGCAAACGACAAAGCCUCUGUUAGCCCUAACGGAGGCGUUGCCUGUCGGCUGCCCUCUAAGCAUGUUUGUCGUCUGCUCUAUGCCAGAGGCUGACGGCAAAGACCUUUGCCAUCCGCUUAAGGAAGACUGACGACAAAGAAGGUGAUAUGUCGUCGAAAGUCAUCGUAGGAACAUUGCCGACAGGAGGCUGACGACAAAGACCUUUGCCGUCGGUGGAUCACCUCUUUGCCGUCUGUUAUGGCAGACGGCAAUGAGUCCGAUUCCUCUAGUGAUUGGUGCUAAAAAUGUGGUAUUGACCAUUAUUUAGUUGUUGAGGAUUGCUGUGAAAUCCAUACUGAUUGCUAUUUUGUUGAUUUCCUUGGUCAGAACGCUACCUAUUACCAGUAUUCUCUUGGUGCUGAUAUUCUAAUCUAGAACCGCCUGGUUCGUUAAAUCCGGACCCUAAGAAACCUCAAGACGAGCCGCCUUGCGGGCCAGGUUGUUCAUACUGACCCGAAUGUCCACCAUUAUCCCCAAGGUGGCAUUGAAAGGCUUGAUUUCUAAACUCCUGCAUGAUAUAGAAAUUUUCCCAUGAAUGAUUAGAUGGCUUAUCCUGAGUGCUAUCCUUUAGUCAAGGCGCCUUGAGGGCCUCCUCAUAGUUAUGUGGCUUAUUCCCUUAUAAGGUCCUUCGGAACGGCGCUGGUGUUUAAAUUCAGUGUUGGUAUUGGCCACAAAUUCUGAACUGCCCUCAGACUACCUCCGUUUAUUGUUGUGGUUUCCCUGGUUUCCACUUUGUUGGUUACCUUUGGCACCUUCUCCUUUCUUGCACUUGUCGGUCUUGUCCUCGUCUGACCCAGGGUCUUUCGUGCCACCUGACUCGGCGUACCUUGUCAGAACGUCCAUCAAGUCGCCCAUGUAUUGAGUCUUUCGCUUCAAACGACCCAACUUAAGCACCAAUGGCUGGAAAUGACAAUUCUUCUCCAGGUUUAGAACGGCUUGUGAGGCUAUUAUACUAUCCGAUGAAUCAAUUAUUUCUGCAACCGACGAGUCCAAUGAUGGGCUCACUCGCCCGUCCGCUGAACGUAAUGCUGGAGAUCCACAAUUGUCAUCGGGCGCUUGCAUGUUCCUUAGAAUUUUUUUACGAAUCGUUCCUUCAACUCCGCCCAAGUGUUGAUGGAAUUAGGUGGAUGUUUUUUAAGCCAAGUUAGGGCUGGCCCUUCUAACAUCAUCAUCACAUACUUUGCCCAUACCUCAUCACUGACGUCGAGCAUGUCCAUGGCUAGCUCGUAACUUCCAAUCCAUACCACCACCUCAAGAUCUGAUGUAUAGUUUGGCACAUUGCGCGGUCCUUUCAAGUCUUUGGGCAUGGGCUCGCUACGAAGAGCCAGAGAUAAGCAUGGAACACCGAUUGUCCUGGUGCUACUUCUGGCUCCAUGUGUUGCUUAUUGUGGUUCCGCUACAUGCGGUUGAGCCGCCCGCCUCAUGGCCGCUUCUGCCUCCACCUGACGGGCGGCUCUUGCCGCGUCCACCAAGUCUUAGGAAUUCUGAAAUCCUGGACCAGUCGGGGAAACCCAAAGCUGUUGUCGCCACACGUUACUGGAAACAGCCGAUGACUCCCCAUGGCGGAUGAUAUAAGGUGUGGAGUGCAUUCGAUCUCGACUGUAUGAGUACUGCACCUGUUGGGCCACUGCCAUCUUCAGCAUCUCAGUCGCGUUCCUAGCUUCAAUUUCCACCGGGGUGUUUCCAUGUAUAGGGAGCGACUCCAAGUGACGCAUUGCAGCCAACAUAUGGUCAACGGGGUUGGAAAAUAACCCUGUGGUGUGUAAAAAUGAUGUGGCCAUGCCUGAGCUGGUUGUGCCUUAGCCAGUUGUGCCUAAGCUGGUUGUGCCUCAUCUGGCUAUCCCUGAUCAUGCGGCGGGUUCCGUGCAGCGUGAGGACUGUGGGGACUAGCAAAUAGGAGCGUCGGUGUUACGUCUAGUGGUAACCAAGAUUGAUGUCUCCUCAAGUGAAUCGCCUCUUUUGUCUGUUAUCGAAGUCCAAGCUGCCACGCCUCUACCCGUAAAUGCUCCAACUCAUCACCGACUCGAUCCUGUGUCUCUGCAAACCGUAUGUUUUCAGUGUCGAUCUCUUUCUGAACCUUGAUCAUCUUUGUGCAGAGUUUUGCUAGUUCUGCAUUACGUUCUUCUCAGUUCUCGUUGAUUAUUGUAUCCUCCAAGAGAUUAGUCAUCUCGGCAUUCAGGUCACUCAUGGCUUGAGACAACGUUUUACUCGACCCACCAGCCUCAUUGGUGGCUCCUGCUGUAGCUGGAUCUGAUGAAGGCGCGACUCAAGCCAUGUAAAUAGUGACUUGCCAAGGUGGGUCAUCUGGCUCCGUCGUAGCUUCUUCCUCCAGAGCUUCCCCAAGCUCGUUACUAAGGGGAAAGAUGGAUCCGGUGUAUCUCAUGGAGGACUCGCCAUCAUGGUUGUCAUUGUCGAGGAUGUCCUCAACGUUUGCCGGUUCAUCCGCAAGGCUGAGCCCCUAGGUCAAUCCGACAAACAUGUGACGACUAUGUGUUUGGAAAUGACCGUGUCGGUCGCGCCGAGUCAGCUCGUUGACGGUGGUGUAUAUGUCCGACCCGAGCAUCCUUGCGCAGAUCUGACCGAAGGGGAUCUGCGAAUUAGUUUCUCCUAAGCCGACCUUAAAGCCCUAACCUAUGUUGUUGAUGUAGCGAUUGUUGCGAUGAUUCUUGAUCAUCUUGGCCACCGCGCGACUCCCAAAUCCCGGAAGAGUUCCCUCUGAGUACUCAACUCCACCUUGUGAUUGCCCCAUGGUGGGCGCCAACUGUCGUGGUUUUUUCGCGGCAGAUGUCCUCAUGAAUGGACUUAGUGGUGAGACCAUUGUCGUGAUGUGGGGACUCGAAGGGGUUGAUUGGGAAACAAAAGGCGGAUUUACCCAGCUUCAACCCCUCCGAUGGAGGUAAAAGCCUACGUCCUGCUUUGUGUUUGUAUUGAUGGCAAUCUCGAUUACAAGGGUGCGGAAUCGCUAACCUAGCUCUCGAGGGUUUCUAACUUGAUAUCUCUGGCUUGAGGGUCCUCCUUUAUAUAUAGGUAGAGGCCCCAAGUCUACAGUGAAGUCUCAGUCAAAUAAACAGUCGGGUGCUACUACAAAUCUACCUUAUCUUUCUUCCUAAGUGAGGAAAGCUUCUAGUGUCUCUUGCCAUGUUCAUCUUUGAGUCGCCGCCUUCUGGUGAUGGGCCACUUGGGGGCUUUGUCGACUAAGUCCGCCGGCCCAUAUUCUCAUCUUUUCCUUGCGGCUUGACCCGCCCUCAUAAGGCGGAUUAAAUCCUGGGGUUAUAUCCCCGACACUCGGGAAGAAAACUGGUCGGCGCAUACCGAGUUCAGAUCCGGAGCCCCCGUGAGGCUAACCUCGUGUGUUAGAAAAGGUAUUGACUGGGGAUCGGCCUUGGAGGUGAAUGCGCUAUAGAAGCACAUCACACAGAUGGGGGAGGCGAAUAUCAAGCUGACCAACGUGGUUCAGGUCAUGCUCCGCCGUUGCAUCCUUCCCUGCGAGCGUCGGGACACUCCAAUGUGGUCCUACAAGCUUGGUGACCCCAAGACCGUGCACCAGUUCUACCACACUACCCAUGAGAAAUUGUGGAGGGUGUUGUUCAAACCUCAACAGGAAUGGCCGGUCGAGGAAGAAGACGCCGGCUUUGAUGCCGAUCACCCUCCCUUGGAGGAAUAACUGAGCUUUUAUCUUAUUUAAAGCUUUAAUAUUUAGCAAGGAGCUUAUCCUUUCCACCAUCAUCCCUGUAGGGCUGGUUGAACAAGGCCGUGAAAAUAAACAACCCAGCCACCUACCUGAGGACCCCAGGUCGCCAUUGUUGAUCGUGAUGCUGGUGGUGGCGCCAUACACGACACUAGAGAAAAAAGAGAAAAAGAAAAGGGAGGCCCGCGGGGGUCUCCGCUCGAGGGGUCCUCCGGAUACCAAGUUCGGAGACACCCAUGCUUCCUCCACCUACGAGAAAGAGGAUGCACAUGACGGAGAGGAGAAAGAUUCCCUCCGAACAAGAAAGAGGACGGCGCUGGAGGAGGCCAAGGAGGGCUUGCCUCCUCAGGCCCGGAAGAGGCCCUACAGGAGCAAGGUCAUCCAUUCCGACGAUAUCUCAAAUUCUGAUGGGGACUCCGGGGCCUUUGAGAGGGUUCCCCGAAGGAACCCCAGGAUCAAGCCCUGUCGAAAGGUAUGGAAUCCAAACUUUAUUUAUUGGAAUUAUACUGAGCAUUUGUUAAUAAACAUACGUGCUCCUUUCCUUGACGCAGCCCUACCUGAAACCUCUUGACGAACCAGGUCUAAAAGGGGGGUUCACCACCGGCCAAGCUAGCGGAGAGCGGGAAUGUGUCCCGUACUACUCUCCCUUGGGCAUCGGACGAGGUUGCGGAGGUGAUAUCCCACCAGGCCCCUCCGAACAUGGGGGACGAGGUGGUGAUGGCCGAGGUUCAUACGUCGGCCACCGAAGAUCGAGAGGUCCCAGACAAAGUUCAUGCCUCGGUCACCGAAACCCAAGAGGUUGGCCCCCUCCUGACGAGUGGGGAGGGGGGCCGUGAUUCUUCUCAGCUUCCUCCGGAGGUAGCUCCAGGGACCUCUGAUCCUCUGAUGUCUUCAACGUUGCUUCUGAUGCCGCCUACGACAGAAGGGCUACGACCGAGUGGCCUGCAAUGAUGGAGGAGGCUUUAUCCAGCUCAUCCAUUGCCGAUGAACAUCGCACCCUUAUGGGUGCAAUCCUACAAAGCAUUCAGUCCGUUGACUGUGGACUGAAGGGAGCCUUCAGCGGUUUGCUGGCAGGCUUCAAGGUAAACCAUGUAGUGUUAGAUUUAUUUAUAAGGUUCUACAUGCCUUAUAGGUAUGACAGCCCCCAAGCCAUGGGUGAGUUGAAACACUUACCCAUGGAUGAAAAGAACUUAUAGACAUGAAUAAAAAUAGUUCGGGGACCCUUGAACUAUAAUAACUCAGGGAGGGGGGGUACUUUGACCAAAUGUCCUAGUCCCGUUAGCUCGGAUGCUUGUCAAUCCAGAACUUGUCUCGCAGGCCUCGUCCUUGGUUGUGGCCACCAACACCCUUGAACUUUCCGAACUAGACCGAAAACUCAAGGUUUCCGAUGAAGAACUCAGCCGUCUUAAUAGUAGGCUCGACGAGAAGCAGGGUAAGCUUGAUGUGUGCCAGUAAGACUCUUGUUGUACUUAACAAUUUAGUACUGUCUGGCUUUGGUAUAUGACAUAUUUAUUCCGAUUAUGUUAGCAUCUAUGGACGUGGAGUUAGAGAAACUCAAGGCCGAAUUGGAAAAGGCCAAGCAGGAGGCUGUCGCGCAUAAGAUGGUGGCCGAGCAGACAACUGCUGAACUAAGCUCGUUGAAGGUUGAGAGCAGCGGGCACAAGACUAGAGUGGCCGAGGUCUAUCAGGAGCUUCAAGAUGCGAGCGCUAAGAGCGAGGCCUUGGAACAAAAAUCCAAAGAACAAGCGGCCGAGCUAUCGGAGUUGUCCUCCGAGCUCAAUCAGAGCGGUUAGAGAGGCGCUUUUUCAAAGAAGAAGUGCGCCAAGCCAAGAAUAUUGCAGAUGGUAAGCCAUACUUACUGCAAUGUGCCUUUGGUGGAAACAUGUUUGCCUUUCUUACAUGGCUAUGGCGUUCCCCAGUCGGCUUUACGGACCUCCUGUGGAGUGCAGCACACACGGCCAAGCGCUAUGCGGCCCAAGAAGGGGACACCGAGCAGAGGCUUUUCUGGGCACAGUUUCAGACUCCCGAGCCCAAGCCCCUUCUCGUCUACUAGAUGAAAUAGCUCAUGGAGUUGCACAGGAUGGCAGAGCUGGCCAUGAAGGACCUCUGCAUCCGGUUGUGGCCUGCCAAGCCUCUUCCAAGCAGUUACUUCAGCUUAGUGCGGAAGUUGUACAACGACGUGCGUCAAAUCGAGGCCCUGAAGCGCUCUGUUUGCAUAGAGGGAGCUCGGAUGGCUUUUGCGAGGACCAUGAUGCACAGGCCAGGGGAGAAUCCCCUUACGAUGGCAACCGCACCUCCGCCUCUUGGAAAGGAGCACAGGCGUCCAAAGCUUUAUUUCUCUACCGCAGCGGAGGGUGCUCGGGCCAUAGAACUUUGGAUUUUUGUUCGAAGGCCUCGCUCUUGGUGCUCGCAUCUUGAAGCUCGGGUAAUUUUUGAGUGAGGAUAUCGUUGUCUGCCUUGGAACAAUUUAUUAUUAUGAAGCUUGUCCCACUGUAAUGCACUUUGUAUUAUUUUGACUGUUGUGUGGCCGUUUAAUCUCAAAGUUUCCAGUCGUCGGCUUCAUCCCCCAUGUAAAGACUACAAGGGGUGUUUCGACAUCUGCACUGUGACCCUUAGCCGAUAUAUCGGUGCCGGAGGCGGUAGUGUGUGAAGGAAAUGAGGGAAUCGGACUAUGCGACUUUAGUGCUUUCACUUAGCCUUAGGAGCUUGAAUUCGAGGGCUGACUACGAGUCUCCAUUUUUUUGUGGUAGUGGGAUGAACCAGAUUUUGAGACAUUUACCACAAGGUUUGCAAAGAAACAAACACCUCUAUAUGACACGGAAUAAAACCUCCAUCGGUCUUUCGUACUUAAGCUCGGAUUGCAGACCAGUUCUCGCUUAUUAUGACAGUCAGUUUUCGGCUUUCUCCACUGAGGUAUUUUAGCCAGGCUAGUUGGGAAUACAAUCGCAGUGGUUCUCCCUUUACCCCUUUAGCUGAACCAGUAGAACAUAAGGGGGUAAGAACAGGAGCGGGGCAACCCAAUUAUCGACCCAAGACAUGAUUCUGAACCGAUGCAUAUAAAGCAAUAUCAUAGAAACCGAACACUUAAAAAGUAGUGAUGGGGUAGUGCUCGGGGAAGUACUUUCAUCCAAGCCCCUGUCUAUUAGCCCAUCGCACUUGAUAUUUAUUGAACAAUUUUACCCAUCGACGCCAAUGAGCAGGAAACAUAUAUAUGUAAAGAUACUGUAAAAGAGUAUAUAAAUAGUAUUUGCUAGGAAUUUUUAUAAUUUGUGGCACCAAGGUAGUUGUUAUAGGUAACUAUUGUUUUGAACAACAUAUUUCAAAGCAACUUUCUUCCACACGACCUUCCAAGGGUGACUUGACGUUCGCCCUGCUUCUAGCUGCACAAUUUCUCCUAUGCUUUCUAUAAGGGAGGGGUAGUAUCCUUUAAUGGUGGUUGUUUUCUACAAACGGACCUUGAAUAGAUGGUCUUGAAAAGCUGUCGUGGUAUGGGUGAGCUUGAUGCUUGGGAGAUCCUUAAUGGUAUCUCAUUUUUUGUCCGUGAAUACGUUUGGACGUAGUUUGGUCGAACCGAACAUAUGGUCCUUGGUAGUGGAUCCCCACAGCUGCCCAUGGUAUUUUGAGAAUGAAAUUGUGUCUACGAGGGACAUACCUUAUGGGUGACCGGGCCAUGCCAUGGGGAGCGUAUCCCUAUUUUCUUUGAGACAGAGAUAUCUCCGGGGGAUCCGAUUGAGCUCGGGCUCGCUUGCUCGCCUACCACGCCUUGAUGGCUAGCUUGUGUCGUGCUGCUUCUUUUUUGUAUUAGCAUUCAGCUGCCAAGGUCGCUGUGUGCUCCUCGGUACGGAGGGAGCGUUCUGUGUUGUCGUUGAUGGUGAUAACUCCCCUGGGUCCGGCCAUUUUGAGCUUUAGGUAGGCGUAAUGGGGAAGAGCGUUGAAGCGGGCGAACACCGUGCGGCGGAGUAGUGGGUGAUACCUGCUGUAGAAGGUGACGAUGUUGAAGAUUAAGUCUUCGAUGCGGAAGUUGUAGGUCAGCCGAACACAACCUCCAGCAUUACCGUGUCGGAGCAGCGGGAUCACUCCUUUGAAGGUAGUGUUGCUGGGUUUGAUUCUUGAUGGGUCUAUGCCCAUCUUAUUUGUCGUAUCUGAGUAAAUCAGGUUAAGGCUACUUCCUUCGUCCUUAAGGACUCUAGUGUGGUGGUACCCAUAUAUGAUGAGGUCUACAACAAGGGCGGCCAGCCCUCCAUGACUGAUACUGGUCGGAUGAUCCCUACGGUCGAAGGUGAUCGGGAAAGCCGACCAUGGGUUGCACAUCGGGGUUAUGGGCUCUAUGGCAUAUACCUCCCAAAGGGCUUGCUUCGUCUCCUUCUUUGGUAUGUGAGUAAUGUAUAUCAUAUUCACGGUUUUCACCUCUAGGGGAACUGUUUUUGGCCCGAGUUGUUCGGAACGCGGGCUCUUCAUCAUCCUCGUUUCGUGGGCCCUUGCCUUGUUCGUCGGUUGCUACUUUGCCAACCUAUUUAAACACUCAACAGUUACGAUUUGUGUGGGUGGCGGUCUUGUCUUGGGUGCCAUGGAUCUAGAGAGGCCUUUACAUAAUACUAUCUAAUGUAGUCAGUCCAUUCCUGUUCCAUUUAAAUGGUUUCUUUCGCUGUCCGGGUUUUGAGCUGCGGAAGCCAGCAUUUAGGGUUGUGUCAACGGCGUCACCUUUACGGUGGCGGAGUUUGGUCUUGUUUUUCCUUGGCUUGCCAUUUCCAUCCUGAACUUUAGAGGUACCGGGGUCGUCCGCAUUAUGGUCGCGCCGAGCUAGAAAAUUGUCCUUGCCCGCGCAAAAGCGGAACAUGAGGGAAGUGAGAGCGGACAUUUUAUCGGCCUAUCCUCGCCGACCUGGCGAGCCAACCAUUCGUCCUGGGUAUUGUGCGUGAAGGAGGUUGUCGCAUUGUCAUCCGGACAAUCCACGAUCUAGUUCUUCUUUGUUAGGAACCUAUUCGAGAAUCCUAUGGCCGAUUCGCCCGCGUUUUGGAUGGCGUUGCUUAGGUUGGAGGAAUCCGGUGGUCGAACGUAAGUUCCCUGAAAAUUAGACAGGAAGGCUUCUUCAAGGUCUUACCAACAUCCGAUGGAAUUUUCAGGUAAGCUAUUUAGCCACUACCGUACUGGCCCUUUCAGCUUUAGGCGUAGUUACUUGAUGGCGUGGAGGUCAUCUCCCCUGGCCAUAUGAAUGUGGAGAAGGAAAUCUUCUAUUCACACGGCGGGGUCCGUAGUCCCGUCGUAUUGUUGUAUGUUCAUGGGUUCAAACCCUUCCGGGAAUUGGUGUUGCAUGACCUCAUUUGUAAAGCACAAUGGGUGGGCGACGCCUCUGACCCAGGCUAUACUGUGCCAGCGAUCGGCUGUUGGUUUUGCUCGGUACGAUUCUCGAUCUCUAUUGAUGUGGGUAAACCAAGGUUGGUCUCCGUCCCAUCGAGUGGGAGAGUACCUUCUAGAUCCAUACAUGGACCUAUUGCGACCUGUUCUGUUGUCCAAGUCGUGACGUAGGUCAUGUCUACCCCUGGGUUGCACAUGAUCCUUUCCCUUCCUGCUGGGAGGCUCGGGUCCAUACUCGGCUUCUCCGGCCGCUCUGUCACGCCCUCGAGGUUGGCAAUCGGGCUGAUCAUACUGGGUGCGCCUGGGGGACACGGGCUCUCGGGCCUCGUCAUCGAACUGAGGCAGCACGCGUCGGCGUGGGUACCUUUUGUUCUGAUCUAGCCACUCGGUGCCAUAUCCUUCUUUAUUUGCCAAUACUUUUGUCCAUCUAUUGUUUAUGGUGUCAUGUUUGGCUUGGAGCCGCUGUUGCUUCGCUUGGAGGCUGCGGGCGAUAGCUACGAGUUGUUGCUUGAACCGUUCCUGACCCUCAAGGUCCUCGAGAACUAUGAAGUCUUCGGCCUUUAUACUAUCUUUCGCGUCAUCACGAGGGAGGUAGUUGUCAUCAUCUGAAUCAUCGGGGUCGUCGGGAUCGGAUUGGCCCUCGGGCUUGUUCGGGAGCUCCGAGGUUGUCGGGGGUCCUCUGGGGUUGUAUUUUCCCCGGUGCCAUCUAUGGCCCCACUUACUUUGUUUGCCUUGGCUUGUUUACGCUACCUCUGGCGCUUUGAUUGCUUUUCCCUAGACUUAUCGUCAUUUUGUUUGGGGGUAUGAUCGCCAUUGUCGUCGGGUGUGUCCACCAUGUAGACGUCGUAAGUGGAGGUGGCAGCCCACCGCCCGGUAUUUACAGGGGCGGGGUCACCGGCCACAUCAUCCAUGUCUUCAACCUCCUCGAAGGCGUAAUCCAACAUGUCGGUUAAGACUUCGACGGUGGCAACCAAGUGGGUGGUGGGUGGGCUGUGAACUUCCUCAUAAUCCGCAUCCAAACUGAUCCGACUAUAGGUCGGGCUCGGGCCAUCCAUAGUUUUCAAUGACUGGAUCUGGUCAAGCGUCUCAUUUAACAUCGAGAGGUUGUCCUGGUCGAUUUCUUGAUGAUUUUAGGAGUUGACCUCCGUUUCUUCCGUGAGGGACGGGUAUUCAGGAAUGGCUGUUGCCUGGGUACUGAGAUUGGGUCCGGGCUCAAAGACAACUCUCUGACAAAGAGGGAACCGAGGUCAUGGCCGGGCAAGAGACCCGAAGUCAAGGCUUCAGGAUUUUGGGGUUCAUCGCACGAAGCCAUGAUCUUAGCAGGGAAAAGAUCUCCCGAGGAGUCGCUCAAGAAUUCAAGAUUCUCGAACCUUAUCUCCUGACUGGGGACGAAGCCUCCGAUCUAGCCAAGGCGGCCGAUCGGGUCGGCGCGCAGCGUGACGCUGCCGAACGCGAGAACCUGCCUUGGAACAAAGAUGUCCCUGUUUCCAAUUCGAUCGCUGAUGAUUACACGAGCCAUCAAUCCUUCCGGUGAACUAACAGGAGAACUCUCAAUGAAAGCACCAUUGUCGGUGUCAAAACUGGCGGAUCUCGGGUAGGGGCUCCUGAGAUGUGAACCUUGUAUGGAUGGGUUACACGGCACAAAGAGGACAAUGUUUACCCAGGUUCGGGCCCUCUUGAGGAGGUAAAACUCUAUGUCCUCCAUGAUUAUAUUGAUAUGUAUGAGGAUUAAAGAGUUGACCUACCUUGAGAUCGUAUGAGCUAAAACCCUAGAUGAGUCAACUUGUCUAUGAGGAUGAAACCCACUUGUUUAUAUAGACACCACGGGUUCCUCGGGUUAUAUACAACCGACCUCCAGCCGGGGAUAGAUGCGUCGAUCUGGAGUACUCAACUUGGAUGACACACCAGUCUUCGGAGCUUUCCUUCUUGAACACGAGGUCGUCACGUAGUCCGGUCUUCAACAAUAAGGCCCAUUAGGUCGGCCUCUAAUAAAUGAAUCGACCGCCCGAGGACUCCUUAGUCCCGGACUCCCCCAGUGGUGCCUAGUGGGGAGCCCUUAAGUCGGAUGAGGAUCUUCUUCGGGCACAAGAAAGCUAAUUUACGGAUAAAUUCCCUCAAAAUUCCAGCACGAUCGGAGUUAAGGAUCUCCAAGAAUUUAAGAAACAGUGAAGGGCAAGAAAACGAGAACGCCAAACAGAACAGAACAGAGAGGGAGAUCCAAUAUCAGAGGGGCUCUUGCCCCUCUGCAGCCAUGGAGGCCAUGGACCAGAGGGAGAACUCUCCUCCCAUCUAGGGGGGGCAAGGAAGAGGAGGGAGGGGGCUCUCAACCCCUCUCUUACGGUGGCACCGGAGUGCCACCGGGGCAAGGAGUGUGACGAUGAUCUACAUCAGCAAGCUUGCCGCCGUCAACACCAACUCCCCCCUCUAUGCAGCGGUGUAAGACCUCUUUUCCCGAUGUAACUCUCUAUUUAAACAUGGUGCUCAACACUACAUACUAUUUGCCAAUGAUACGUGGCUAUUCUAUAAUGUUUGAAUAGAUCCGUUUUGUCCUGCGGGUUAAUUGUGAUAUGAUUUUAUUGUGUUUAUAUGAUGUUGUCCUAAGGUGCCUUCUGUGAGGCGCACACGCGAAGGAUACAUGCUGGAGGGUUUGCAUUAUGUUCAUGAUUCGCUUAUAGUGGGUGGCGAGAGUGACAGAAACUUACAACCGAGUAAGGGAGUUGUCCGCACAUGGGAGUAAAGAGGACUUGAUGUUUAAUGCUAUGGUUGGGUUUACCUUAACGAUUUCUAGUAGUUGUGGAUGCUUGCUAGAGGUCUAAUCAUAAGUGCAUAUGAUCCAAGUACGGAAAGUGUGUUAGCAUAUGCCUCUCCCUCAUUGCACAUGAUAAGUAUCUAUCAUGUUAGAGGUCCAAUCAUAGUUUCAUACUUGUUCUAGGUAAAGUAAGUGUUUGCACGCAUAGAGUUGUAUCGAUGGUCGAUACAACUUGAGAGAAUAUUAGUUCUACCUUUAGCUCCUUGUUGGGUUCGACACUCUUGCUUAUCAAAAAGGGCUACAAACGAUUCCCUACACUUGUGGGUUAUCAGUGAGUAUCCUGGCGACACGAAGGCGAGCACAUGACUGGUGGCGACCUCGAUGAUCGCUCGGGUCAGAGAUGCCUGUGGCAUGGUCUCAUGUCCGUCCUCGUCAAGGACAAUGAUGUCGUUCCCCGGAGGUGGAAUUUCUUCAACAUGUGCGAUGGGGUCAAUGUGCAACAUUUCUACUUACGAACUGGCAUGCAUCCAGUCGGUCACCACCGGCACGAGAGGCAUGAAGUACAGCGCAGCUGGCUCAAGGGCCUGCACCGACAGUUGCAUGAAGGGUUGCAUAACCGGCUCUAGGGCCUGCAAUGGCAUGCUCUCAACACUAAUUUGGUGGUGGUAACAAUGACCUCGGUGACGCUGGUUCCAACCUCCAUCGAAGAGGCGAAGGUCGCACACUCGAUACUAGAAGCGGCGGAGUCUGCCAACACCAUGGCGGAGGUGGUGAGCAACGAAACGGCGGCAACGGUCAUCAUUAUGAAGAAGGCGAAGAAACGGAGAAAUCAUCUUUCGCCUCUAGUUCAUGUCGAUCUUGUUCUCUGCCGGGAAGAUUUUUCUCUAUUGAAAAGUGAUGUGUGUGAUAAUGUGCUAAAAGAAACAAAGAGCAAACUAGAGACAAAUAAAAAGAAUGAACAUAUGUAAUAUUUAUUGAUCAUGUUCAUGUAUACAUGCAAUCGGCACGAAAGCAUCCAAGAGAUGCGUCCAUUGGUGAAGGCGUCAAUCGAAAGGAGCAACCGACGCACAAUUGCAAAAAAUGGCAACCACACACAUGUUGCGGGAAUGUAGGGAUUCCUCUAACUAACCAUUGAGGUUAAUUUGGCUUAACACUCUGAAUUGCAUCACGUUUCUACCAUUAUUGUGCCGAAGUGCUAGGAUUUUGUCGUGGUUGUUCUCACAGUGAGGGUGCUCCUACUUGGCAAGGUACUAAGACUUGUUUCUUUUGCCUACAUGACAAGUCUAUUAAACACCUAUGUUAACUUUGAUGGUAGGUUUAAUCAUGCAACAUAGGCCAUAAAUCAAAUAGAUUCAAAACCUUACACCUCCCCCAUGUAGUGUGUGUAAUAUGUUCGACAACUCGCGACGGGGUGCCGACAAACAUUUUUCUGCAUGUAUUCUUGUGGGACUGCCAACAUUUAUGUUGGACUUUUGUUUCAUCAUGGAUGUCCAUGUAAUCUUCAGAUAAGAUCUAACCCAUCUUCCCAUGCAAGUAUCUCGGCCUUUCACUAUCCAUAAGGAAGCUCACGACGGCACAAUAUCAAGGCCUUGUGGAUCAUCUCGUAGCGCGCCUACCAUCUUGGAAGUCAGCAGGCCUUCCCAAGAGCGAUCACUUAUUGCUGGUACAAUCCGUUCUCUCGACAAUCCUGAUCCACUCAAUGUUGGCCCUUGAUCUGGCUCUAAAGACUUUGGUUGCCCUAAUCAAGAUAUGCCGCAAAUUCCUUUGGGUCGGCAAGGCAGAUGCGCGAGGAGGUGCAUGUGCGAUGGCCUGGGAGAGAGUGUGCACUCCUAGGUGCGUCAGACGCCUAGGUAUCCUUGACAUGUGAUGGAUGAAUGUGGCCCUUCGGGCCAAGUGGUUGUGGUUGAGUAGGUCUGACCAGGAUAAGCCUUGGUCGGAGUUCGCUUUCUCUGUGCCAAAGGAGUCCCGACAGUUAUUCCUGGCAGCGGUGCGAGGAGUCGUUGGCGAUGGGAGGAAUACAUUAUUCUGGGAGGGUAGAUGGCUUAGUGGUUACCGGAUGCAGGAGCUUGCGCCACGGAUUUGCGAGCAGAUUCCAGUAAGAACGAGGAGGUCAAGAACGGUGUAUGAGGCAAUCGUUGAGGAGAGAUAGGCCCGAGAUAUUGGGCCAGCGCUAGGCGAGGCAACCCUUGCGAAGUACCUGGGUAUCUGGCCCGGGGUUGCGGUGGUCUAGCUGGACGAGCAAUGUGAUGAUCGUUUCAUCUGGUUCUGUGAGAAGAACAAGAAGUUUUCGGCCAAAUCUGCCUAUGCAGCCAAGUUUGCAGGGCGAGAAGUCUCGCCCAUCUUGGAAUUCACAUGGCACUCACGGACCUCGCUUAGGUACAUAUUAAUUCUUCUCAUGGCUAGCAAUCAUGAACUGGUGCUGGACUUCAGAUAGAUUGGCACGAAGAGGCAGCCACACCAACACUCGUGCCCUUUUUGCAAUCAGCAUGAUGAGACGAUUGGCCAUCUACUUAUCGAGUGUCCUCUCCCACGGGAGGUAUGGGCAAAGUUCUUCUCCGCCCAAGGUAUUCUGCAUGGCGAGCCGCAACUAGGAGAGACACUGCACGGCUGAUACACUAGGCAGGGUAUGCAGGGAAAAAGUGCCAAGAUGGUUUGGACCAUAUGCCCCCUUGCCAUGUGGGAAAUAUGGAAGCAUAGAAAUGCCAUAGUCUUUGACGGAGAGAUGGCCUGCCCACGACAUGUUCUACGCUGGACCGCGAGUUAUAGCAUGGUGUGGAUGCAGACGGCUCUACUUCGAGGAAACCUGCAGGCAUUCUUCGUGGCAGCGCUGGAAUGGGCGCAUAGUGAGUAGUGUGUAUAACAUACUUGAGGUGGAGGGCGGCGUAACGCCAUGUAACCCCUGAUGUAACUAAACUGCGGAGGGCUCCCCCCUCUCCUUCCUUCUAUAAUAUAUGAUACGCACACUCGUGCGUAUUCGAUGAAAAAAGAAUCUAACCCAUCUUAGGCUGAUUUUUUUUUCUGCGAAACAAUAUUUUCUUUUGGUUAUGUUAAUAGUCUUAACUGUGUGCAUCAUCACGUUUUGCAGCAGUCAGACAUUUGUUCAAUGUGAUUGUAUCACCUUGAUAUAUCGAUUGAAUGAAAUUGUCUUUUAUUAGUAAAAAAUAGUUGUAUUGAAGUCAUCAUAACUUAAUCCCAUGGGGUAGAUGGUUAAAUGUUUUCACUUAACAAAAUAAUUUCUAGUGUGCCCAUAACUAGUGUAAUAGAUGGACAGAAAUAAAUAGACUGGAAAUGCCAUGAACAAGCCAUGAAUAGAAAAGGUUGGGUUUAUCUACAUCAGUUAUCAGUUUAGUGUGUUCUAUGUACUUGACAAUCCAAGAAUUAGCAAUAGAGCCCUCUGUAUUAAGAGUAUAUUUCAGUCAGUCCUCAACUGCUGUCCAUGUUAUUUACUAGUUCCGGUAGUGAUCUUAAGCAUCGUCUAUAAACUAUUACUUAGUCUAGACGUCCCUAUAGAGACCUAUCGGACAUCAAAGAAAAUCCAUUUUAAAGGAUACGCGGAUAGACUCGGUAAACCGCCGACAAUGAAGUGGCACCAACAAAUAUUUUAGUUUUAUAAAUCUGAAAGGAAUGUAUCUUUUCGAUAAAGGUCUGAAAAAGAAAAUAGGUACCUAUACUCAUCCAUGCAUAGGCAAGAAGUUUUCUUUAUGUGAAGCAUAUCUCUGAAAGGGCUUAUAAUAAUUUUGCUUGUGCACCUCAUACAACUCUACCUAAUAUAUACAUAUUCUCAAAUUUGUAAGAUAUCACUGACUUCUCUCAACCAUUGAAUAGGUCAUCAUUUUUCUUAACUUGCACGCAAUGUCCACGAAUUGAGUAAGCAUAUGCAUAACUAAGAGUCUACGCUGUUUCAUGGAGCCUAUCACAAACGACUGAAUGUUUAGUGGAAAAAUCUCUUGGGUGGAAUCCUAAACCCCUUGAAAAAUAUACUGAAAAAUAUAAUGGCAAUCACCAUGGGGCGUCGGCAGAUCACAGUCAUUAUAAUAACCGCUUGUACACCCAAAUACAACUCUACCUGGUAUAUGCAUAUUCUCAAAUUCGUAAUAUAUCACUGACUUCCCCACCGUCGAAUAGGUCACCAUUUUUCUUAACGUGCACACAAUGUCCAUGAAUUGAGUAAGUGUAUGGGUAACUAAGAGACCGCACUGUUACACAUAGCUUAAUCACAAACGGCUAAAUAUUUAUUGGGAAAAUCUCUUGGGUGGAACCCUAAACCCCUUGAAAAUCUAUUAUAUAAUUAAAACAAAAGACAAACAAGCCAUAUGUGUUCCCAUACAUUGAAUUAUCUUGACCGUAUUUUUAAAUAAUAACACAUGUGAUUUAAAAUAUGUAUUGUUACAUAUAAAUUUUAUCAUGAGCAAACAGUUUAUAGUGUCACGUAGCUCAUACUAAUAGUUCAAUAUGUCUCGAGUUCUUAAAGAAAAACUGGCAUGUCACUAGAAAUCAGUCUGAUACCUUAGGAUCUUUUUUUGCGGGUAAAACUGGGAAGCUUUAUUCAACACACAUCAUCCGGGCAUGAUCUUCGAGGAGACUAGUUAGAAGAAUAAUAGGACUAGAGUUCAACCAGCAAUCCGUUACCUCCAAUGUGCUAGCUUGCUUAGAACAUAAGUGGGCACACGUGCUAGCUGAUUUUGCAACAUUUUGAAUGAAAUACAAACUAAACAGUAAGGCGAGCUCUCCAUCUUAGUUAAGAUAUGCGUCAGCACAGUCCGAGUAUUGAGGCACGAAUACCAGAGAUUGACAAUCUUCAAACAAUCUGUCGCCACAACGACCUUCUCGUGACCCCGAAGCUUUGAAAAGAGGACCCCGUCUCGAACAGCCAAAGCUUCAGCGACAAACGGAUCGCUAAAACCAGGGUACGGUUUAGACCAAGCAGGCAUGAAGGAGGAACAGGCUCGGACAACACCACCCACCCCACCCACCCCUGCUAGCCUCCAUAGCGUGCUUCCAUCUGUAUUGAUCUUCAUGAUUCCUUAGGUUGAUAUAGAAAAUAAGAAGUACCUUACCUUGAAUUGGCAAAGCAUGACAACCAAGAGUAUUCGGCAGCCAAGUCCAAUUUAGAAAGAAAGAGAAAAAACUACCUUAUGUAGGGAGGAGCACCAAGUGAACUACCUUAUGUAGGGAUGAGUCAUGAGCAAACACCCCUACCCCACAACAAAGAAGUGUCCGCAUCUCAAAAAAUUAGGAGUGUCCCAGCAAAAUAUGCGUGCUAAUCUCUCUAGGGAAAAAGAGAAGACGUGUGUGCUCCUCCUUUUUCUGCGGACACAAAAAAAAAAGUACGGAGUCCUGCUUAGUUCACUUAGUGCUCCAGUACUUGGGGAUAAGAAAUCUUUCUCUACGCAGAUUGAAGAAUAUAUCUCAUAAAAAAUGAAAAUUAGUUGUUUAUACAUAUACUAAAUCGUGGAUGAAAAAAUGAGGCGACAUACCUGAUUGGCAUAAUACAUUUUUUUAUGCUAAAUUAGUUCUGCACUAUGAUAUUAGCUGUAUUAAAUCAUGGAUGGACAACUGAGACACGAAAUACGAAAUACAUAAAGAUAAAAGUGCCAGCAUUUUAUAUUCUUUCUCUCAAAAAGUUACUGAUAACCAUAGUGGCUGUUCUAAUUUGAAUCGCUGAGAUCCAAAAAUAAAUAGAAAGAAAUCAUGCUUGCAAGUGAUUCAGUAUAAAUUAAGUAUUCCUCAUGAAAAAAUAAUACGUCAUGAGAAAGACCACGUGAGAGCAUCUGCAGUGAAAUGCAUAAGAAAAAUAAUGCACGUGAAAGCAUCUGUAGUGAACCUAUUUACAAAAAUUGACCACUAACAUAUGCAAAAGUAUCCGGGUUGGACAAUUAAAAAUAACAAAGAACGUUGUACUGACUACAUAAUAAUAAUUAUUCACUAGUGGGGACAGGGUCUAUAGUCCCGGCCCGUAAGGGGCUUUAGUCCCGGUUCACCAACCGGGACCAAAGAGGCGGAACUAAAGGCCUAACCUUUAGUCCCGGCCCUGUUCCAAGCCGGGACCAAAGGUGCUCCAUGUGGGCGCCUCGGAGCGCCCUCACGGGCAGGCCCUUUAGUCCCGGGUCUUAACACGGACCGGGACUAAAGAGUUUCUUCAGAUUUUGUUUGUUUUAGGGUUUUAGGGUUUUAGGGUUUAGGUGUUCGGGAGAUUAACGUGAUGCCUCGUUUGGCAUUCGGGAAUUAGUUUUCAUAUAAUUCUAAAUAUACAUGUUUAUGUAUAUAUAUAAGAUUAACUUAUCUUACAAGCGAGCAUAUAUAUACAAUUAUAUGGAGAUCUGAAUUAUCGGGACUAGAGCCCGUUUAUUUAAUUCCAUGGACCAACAUCAGUAAUGGCCCCUAGCUACACUAAAUCAUCCUUUGUCAUCUAUAGCUUCCGUCCUCAGAAAGGUCGCAAGCUCCUCUACAACAGCAAUCGCGCGUUGCUCUGGUAGGUACUUCUCCCUCAUGGCCGUGUACUAUAUAAGAAGAGGAGAUGAAUAUGAAUAUCAAUAAUGAUAACAAAGAAUGGCGGGUAAAAAUAGAGGUGUGAAUGUUCAUUGCUUACGUCGUAUCUAUAAUCCUUGUGCUCAGAGGUAAACGUGCGAAUGGUCUCGCAAACAUAGUAUCCGCAUAGAUGCGUCCCCCGUGGCUGCUGGUCGCACUUUACGAGAAUAGAAUAUAAAUAAUCAAAAUAAUAAUCUAGCAUCAUAAAUGUAUUGAAAAUAGAAGUAUAUCAUACUACUACUUACCUGAGGCGCUCUAAAGGUCAGCUUCUCAUGCUCGAUACCGGGAGUCACACACUUGAACCGCUUCCAAACCCUGUCCGACAAGGAAAAUGAUUUGCUAAGUUUUUCAUUAAUUGAUAUAUCAUAAAAUCAUCGAAAGAGACCGAUAGAGCGCAAGAAUGAUUGAAAUUACCCUUGGAGCAUUUCCUGCAGGCUUUGGAACUGUUCGAAGGGUCUCGAUAAUGGGUCGAAGGCAUCAACUCUUCCCUUAUCAAUUUGAAUGUCCAACAGAAUCCAAUGGUAGCUACACAUGUAUAUAUAUAUACAUGUGUAGCUACCAUUGGAUUCUGUUGGACAUUCAAAUUGAUAAGGGAAGAGUUGAUGCCUUCGACCCAUUAUCGAGACCCUUCGAACAGUUCCAAAGCCUGCAGGAAAUGCUCCAAGGGUAAUUUCAAUCAUUCUUGCGCUCUAUCGGUCUCUUUCGAUGAUUUUAUGAUAUAUCAAUUAAUGAAAAACUUAGCAAAUCAUUUUCCUUGUCGGACAGGGUUUGGAAGCGGUUCAAGUGUGUGACUCCCGGUAUCGAGCAUGAGAAGCUGANNNNNNNNNNNNNNNNNNNNNNNNNNNNNNNNNNNNNNNNNNNNNNNNNNNNNNNNNNNNNNNNNNNNNNNNNNNNNNNNNNNNNNNNNNNNNNNNNNNNNNNNNNNNNNNNNNNNNNNNNNNNNNNNNNNNNNNNNNNNNNNNNNNNNNNNNNNNNNNNNNNNNNNNNNNNNNNNNNNNNNNNNNNNNNNNNNNNNNNNNNNNNNNNNNNNNNNNNNNNNNNNNNNNNNNNNNNNNNNNNNNNNNNNNNNNNNNNNNNNNNNNNNNNNNNNNNNNNNNNNNNNNNNNNNNNNNNNNNNNNNNNNNNNNNNNNNNNNNNNNNNNNNNNNNNNNNNNNNNNNNNNNNNNNNNNNNNNNNNNNNNNNNNNNNNNNNNNNNNNNNNNNNNNNNNNNNNNNNNNNNNNNNNNNNNNNNNNNNNNNNNNNNNNNNNNNNNNNNNNNNNNNNNNNNNNNNNNNNNNNNNNNNNNNNNNNNNNNNNNNNNNNNNNNNNNNNNNNNNNNNNNNNNNNNNNNNNNNNNNNNNNNNNNNNNNNNNNNNNNNNNNNNNNNNNNNNNNNNNNNNNNNNNNNNNNNNNNNNNNNNNNNNNNNNNNNNNNNNNNNNNNNNNNNNNNNNNNNNNNNNNNNNNNNNNNNNNNNNNNNNNNNNNNNNNNNNNNNNNNNNNNNNNNNNNNNNNNNNNNNNNNNNNNNNNNNNNNNNNNNNNNNNNNNNNNNNNNNNNNNNNNNNNNNNNNNNNNNNNNNNNNNNNNNNNNNNNNNNNNNNNNNNNNNNNNNNNNNNNNNNNNNNNNNNNNNNNNNNNNNNNNNNNNNNNNNNNNNNNNNNNNNNNNNNNNNNNNNNNNNNNNNNNNNNNNNNNNNNNNNNNNNNNNNNNNNNNNNNNNNNNNNNNNNNNNNNNNNNNNNNNNNNNNNNNNNNNNNNNNNNNNNNNNNNNNNNNNNNNNNNNNNNNNNNNNNNNNNNNNNNNNNNNNNNNNNNNNNNNNNNNNNNNNNNNNNNNNNNNNNNNNNNNNNNNNNNNNNNNNNNNNNNNNNNNNNNNNNNNNNNNNNNNNNNNNNNNNNNNNNNNNNNNNNNNNNNNNNNNNNNNNNNNNNNNNNNNNNNNNNNNNNNNNNNNNNNNNNNNNNNNNNNNNNNNNNNNNNNNNNNNNNNNNNNNNNNNNNNNNNNNNNNNNNNNNNNNNNNNNNNNNNNNNNNNNNNNNNNNNNNNNNNNNNNNNNNNNNNNNNNNNNNNNNNNNNNNNNNNNNNNNNNNNNNNNNNNNNNNNNNNNNNNNNNNNNNNNNNNNNNNNNNNNNNNNNNNNNNNNNNNNNNNNNNNNNNNNNNNNNNNNNNNNNNNNNNNNNNNNNNNNNNNNNNNNNNNNNNNNNNNNNNNNNNNNNNNNNNNNNNNNNNNNNNNNNNNNNNNNNNNNNNNNNNNNNNNNNNNNNNNNNNNNNNNNNNNNNNNNNNNNNNNNNNNNNNNNNNNNNNNNNNNNNNNNNNNNNNNNNNNNNNNNNNNNNNNNNNNNNNNNNNNNNNNNNNNNNNNNNNNNNNNNNNNNNNNNNNNNNNNNNNNNNNNNNNNNNNNNNNNNNNNNNNNNNNNNNNNNNNNNNNNNNNNNNNNNNNNNNNNNNNNNNNNNNNNNNNNNNNNNNNNNNNNNNNNNNNNNNNNNNNNNNNNNNNNNNNNNNNNNNNNNNNNNNNNNNNNNNNNNNNCUCAUGCUCGAUACCGGGAGUCACACACUUGAACCGCUUCCAAACCCUGUCCGACAAGGAAAAUGAUUUGCUAAGUUUUUCAUUAAUUGAUAUAUCAUAAAAUCAUCGAAAGAGACCGAUAGAGCGCAAGAAUGAUUGAAAUUACCCUUGGAGCAUUUCCUGCAGGCUUUGGAACUGUUCGAAGGGUCUCGAUAAUGGGUCGAAGGCAUCAACUCUUCCCUUAUCAAUUUGAAUGUCCAACAGAAUCCAAUGGUAGCUACACAUGUAUAUAUAUAUAUAUAUGUGUGUGUGUCAAUAACUUAUCAAUUACACUUAUAAGUGAAUGGACACAACAGAGUAAAGACCCUCACUUGAAGUUGUAUGGAAACAGUAUGUGGUCACAGAAAUUUUGACCUGUUAGAAACCUUAGAAGGUUUUCCUCCGUCUCCUUGGGUUUAUCAGUUAGCGUCGCUAUAUUUAUUUUAUCUAGGUCAAUAAACCCAAUAUUUAGGAUGUUCCUACUUUUACAUUCCAGAAUCUUCAUUCUGCAUAAUAGAGUACAAGUUAUAUGUAGACAAUAAAUUAAAAUAACUAAACAAGUUAUAUGUAGACAACGAAUUGAAAAACUUACACACAAUAGCAACUCAUAAGCGAUUUGUCGAGGGCGUCGGCAUUGUACAUCUCGAAGAGUUCAUCAAAGUCGAUAUGGAUUUCUUCGGGGCGGCCGUAGCACUCCCGUGGGACACGCGCCACGAUCAUCGUUCUCCCAUUCUUUGAUUCACUUAAGUACCAUGUAUGCAAGUAACGCAUAUUUGUUGGGAGAUCAUCAAACUUAUCUUUGCUAACCAAAGGCGCUCCCAUGACAAACUGUGGCAUAGGGGCCACCAUAGCCUUGGGUAACCUGUCGUCUUGGGAAGCCAGAACGUCUUCAACCGGGAUACCCCAUUCAUCCGCCCACUUCUUUGCUAAUUCCAAAUCUUUCCCCUGCACCAGAGAGGGAACAUUCUCGGGUAACACCCUCAGGGGUAGGAUCGACUAUUUGGCCUGUUGUCCAAGCUGAGGAACGUCUGAUCUUUUUUUGCUUGUAGUUGAACUUGAUUUGCUCCCACUUGCACUUGCACGUGAUCUGCUCUUUUUCCCUUCCUUCUGCAAUGUGCGUGUAUAGUCAUCAGGCUUAUGGUGUAAGUCAUACUGUGAUGGAAGGGUCGUGAAGUAUUUUGCAUAUGUUAUUUGCUUCUCGGUGUAUUCCGGGCGGGGCUCGGGUUCCUUCUUUUUCAUCUGCGCAUCAUAAUGUACCUUUGCUAUCCUGGCAUUUUCCUCGUCGGUAUGAUCAUAAGGUCUGAUAGGAAGAUUAGCAUGAGGUACCUUUGGGAGGGGCGACAGUUUGGGCUUUGGGGAGCUCCAUCGCUUAGAACUCAUCGACGGAGCGUUCUUGCUGGCACGCUUCCGCUUAGUAUCCUUAGCGGGCGGCGGCGGAGACGGACGACCCAAGUCCGGCGGCGGUGAUCGAGAUGGACUCGUGUUGUGCUGGCCAUCGUCAUGUGGAGGGCUUGGAGGUGAUGGAGGUGUAGGUGACCUGCGACGACUCGGAGGCGGUGUUGUCCUUGGGGCCGAGCCUGGAAGCUUGAUGUAGUUCUUGUCCCAUAGGAUGACCCCACCCAGUACUUCUCCGAGUGUCCUCUCAUCUUCGGGUCCAGCUAUGUCGAGCUCCAUAUCAUGAAACCCCGCCAUGAUUUCAUCCAUCCCGACUUUAGCAAAGCCAGCUGGAAUCUCACGGCCAUGCCAGCGUGCAUCAGGGCCAGAAGGUAAAGCUUGUCCGAUGGCCACCUUCAUGGAUAUGUUCUUGAAUUUCUGAUGGAGUUCACAUGAUGUUGACUCCUUGAUUCCAUCCACGGGGUAGCCGGGACCGCCCUCUAUCAUUCUUCGUGCAUCGUUGGGCGGGGCCUCAGAUUCAGCCACGCUGCUUUUCCACUUAGAUGGGGCGCCGGUAAUAUCGAGCGCAGGAUCUUCCUGGCGCGCUACUCCUCUAAGCUCAUCAAUCUGCUUCUAUUGCUUGUUAAGCCUGGCAAGCAACUGGUUAAACUUGUCAUUCUCCUCAUCCUGCUGUCGCUUCUUUGCUCUCGCUCGGCUUCUGUAAGUGUCUUGGUCUCUGGGAAACCCAAGCCACCACGGGUAAGAAGGACCGAAGCCUCGCGUUCGUCCUCCAUGUUCGUCAUUGUCGAGGACCACUGUGAGAAAAUCUUUCUCUCUAUCUGCAGUGAACUGUCUUUUUCCCUCCUUAAUUUUUUCACUAUCUUUUUCCAAUUCUCCCUGGGUAUCCUAAGACCGUCACUGCAGAUGAGGUCCCCUGUUUCUUCGUCGUAUGAACCACCAUGCGCAAGGAACCAAUUUCUUGCUCUCAAUUCCCACUCAUCACGGAUGGGUUCAGGUAUGAUGCCUUUAGCUAGCAGAUCUUUCUCUUUCUUAUCCCACUUUCGGAUGGCAGACUCAUAGCCCCCUGGCCCCAGCGUGUGGUGAUAUUUCUUCUUGUCGGCAUUUUUCUUGUUCUUUUUUGAUAAUGCCUUGGCAUCUUCUGACUCCUUGUACUCUUGAAAUGCCUUCCAGUGAUUCGCCUGCUUGGCUAGAUACCCCUCGAAUACUGGCACUUUCUUUGUCUUCCGAUAGUUUUUCAUAGCUUCUUCUUCCAGCUACAGAACAGUUCGACCAUCUUCUUUAGAGUCCACUGCUUGACUUUGGCCAUCAGUUUGUCUGCGGCGUCUUCAUUCUCACAUUCUGACAGGUUGAAAUGUGACAUGAGAUCAUUCCAAAGAUUAUCUUUGUACCUUUCGGUGACAUAGUCACUAUCGGCUGCCCCUUUGCGCUUGUUGCACUCCCGAACGCUGAUCGGGACGUGAUCCCUAACGAGAACUCCGCAUUGCUUCUUGAAUGUGUCAGCAGCAUUCUUAGGAAGCUUGGGUUCGCCCGUAGGCAAUAUCACCUCAAAGGUGUAAUGCAUCCGUGCAUCCAACUUUUUAGUCGGGCCUCGUUUCGUAGCUUUGCUCGAUGUGGAGGCUUAAGAGGGAGAAACAUUCGUCAAAUGAAUGUAUAUGUAUACAAUAUAGAGCUAUCUCCAAUAUUUUUCACAUAUUACAAGUGAUUGUCGAAGUUCAUAUGUAUACCUCGCCGGACUUUAUUAGUUCUCCACCGGCUUCUCCAUCAGUGGAGCUAUCACCUUCUCCAUCAUUGGAGCUAUCUCCUGCCCCAUCGGCUUCAUCUUCGUGUCCGUCGACUUCCAUUCCAUAUCCGGAGGGGUUUAGAUAUGACGACGGAGAUUCAGCUGGUUCAACGUCGGGGCCGUCUUUGAUUAUAUCUUCGAGAAGUUCUUCCUCUUCGAGGUUCCUAAUAUGUGGAUCCAUAGUUCUGCAAAAAACGAACAUUUGGUUAACUAAUAAACUAACAAACUAUAUAUGAUGCAAAAUAAUUCUAUUUCUAUUUGCAAAUAAAUUCUAACUAAAUAAUUCUAAGUAAAAUAAUUCUAUCUCUAUUUGCAAAUAAAUUCUAACUAAAUAAUUCUAACUAAAAUAAUUCUAUUUCUAUUUGCAAAUAAAUUCUAACUAAAUAAUUCAUGACUUCAUCAUUACCUAGUAGUAAUAGGAGCAUGAUGCUAUGAAGCUUUAUAAAGUUGUUUUGUAACGGAAUCCCGAAUAGGAUAAUUAGCUUUGUGGUACGCAGUUCAAAAAGAGCCAUCCGAAUAUCGCUAUUUGGAAGGACUUUGUUGAACUUUGUACCAAAAAAGAAUUAUUCUAUUAGGAACUCCGUUCCAAAACAACUUUCGAGAGGUUGAUAGCGCCAUGCGUCUGUUACUACCAGGUAAUGAUGAAGCCAUGGACCGACCCUAAACUAACUUACUUAAAUUUACAUAGCCCUAAACUAGCUAACACUAACCUAAUUAACACUAGUUUAUAUGUUUAAUUGAUGUUUGUAGUGAUUUAAGUGAUAUUUGUAGAUUGUAGAUUUGUAUAUGCUUAAACACUAACUGUGACCUAAACUAAAAGGCCCUAAACUAACUUACUAAAAUUUACAUAACCCUAAACUAACAAUAACCUAUUAAUUAACACUAACUACCUAACCCUAAUAACACAAAUUUAAAUGACACAAAAAUAACACAAAUAACCUAUUUAACACUAACCUACCUAACCCUAAAUUCACCAAAUAUUCUACAAAUAACACUUAAGCAUAUACAAUAGCAAAAUUAAGCAAUAAUCUAAAAAACACUAAUUAAGCAUCUAUAUAUGUACAAAAUUACAUAAGCAUGCAUGCAUGUUGACGAUCGAUCAAGAGAGGAGAGGAGAGAGGCUCACCAGCGGCAGGGGGUGUUGGAUCGAGGAGGAAGGGAGGGCGACGACGACGGCGAGGAGGACGGCAAGGCGACGACGAUGGCGAGGAGGACGGCAGGGCGCGACGACGAGGAGGACGGCAGGGCGACGGCGACGGCGACAACAAGGAGGACGGCAGGGCNNNNNNNNNNNNNNNNNNNNNNNNNNNNNNNNNNNNNNNNNNNNNNNNNNNNNNNNNNNNNNNNNNNNNNNNNNNNNNNNNNNNNGGUGUCGAGCAGUUCGUCCGAUGCUGCAGGCGAGCGAGAGGAGGAAGAAAGAUUGAAAUGGCGAUUUGGGUUGGAAAUUUCCAACUCCCGCUUAUAUAGGUGGAGCUUUAGUCCCGGGUCGGGGCUCGAACCGGGACUAAAGACACCCUUUUUGGCAGGCGAGGAGGCGGGAAACGAGGGGCUUUAGUCCCGGGUCGGGGCUCGAACCGGGACUAAAGGCUGUGUUUAGUCCCAGGUCUAGCCACGACCCGGGGCUAAAGACCCCUUUUCGGCAGGCGAGGAGGCGGGAAACGAGGGGCUUUAGUCCCGGGUCGUGGCUCCACCAGGGACUUAAGGUGGUCUUUAGUCCCGGUUCGAGCCCCGAACCGGGACUAAAGACCUGGGCUGGCUUCGGGGUGACGCAGGGCAACCUUUAGUCCCACCUCACCUAGCGAGGGGCGCUGGCAGUGCUUUAUAAGCACUCUCGCACUUUGCUCAAUUGAGCUUCUCUCUAUUGAAGGCAUGUGGGCCUAACUCUCAUCUCGCUGUCUGUUGGUCCUAUUGGCCCCCGGACCUUCAUCCUGGCCCACCUGUCGGGUAGGGUUUCUAGUCGUAUGCAGGUCGUGAUGACCCAAUAGGCGGCAUUUGUUUUUUUACUUUAAUAAUUUUUAGUCCUAGUUUAUAUUUUAAUUCUUUGCUAUUCAAUAUUUUUUUCUCUUCUAUUUUAGUUUUCUAUUGAGUUGAUUUGUUUUUGUUUCUUUUAGUUAAUGUUUUACUUGAUUCUUUCUAACAAAUAAGCACUUUGAAAAUUUUAGUAAAUUAUUCUUAAUUCAUUCAUUUUAGUUAAUGUUUUAGUUGAUUCUUUUUAGUUGACUCUUUUUUUGUUUUCUAUUAAAUAUUUUAACAAAAAAACUUUAUGAAAUUUCUGACUUCAUUUGAUAUUUUUUGUGCAUUUACUUAUUCUUUUGAGCUAGUUGACCCUGAAAUGGAAAAACACUACAAAUGAACUCUAAAAAUGUUGAAAGUUGGCAUGGUAUCAUCAUUUCACCCACAUAGCAUGUGCUAAAAGGUUGAGAGGGUUACGGCAAAAAUUGGAUACACUUCGUGUGCAAAACGGACAAUAUCUCUCGAAGUAUCAUGGUUUCGAACAAGAACUCAUCUAUUACAAAGUGAUUUCAUUUUUUUGAACUUAUUUGAACUCCAUACUUUUUGUGUGUUCAAAAUGCACCAUUCAAACGCACAUCACAAACUUUCAACAAUUUCUGACUUCAUUUGGUAUUUUUCGUGCAUUUACUUUUUUUUAGCUAGUUGACCCUGAAAUUGAAAAACACUACAAAUGAACUCUGUGUUGAAAGUUGGCAUGGUAUCAUCAUUUCAUGCACAUUCCAUGUGCUAAGAAGUUGAGAGGGUUACGACAAAAACUGGAUACACUUCGUGUACAAAACGGACAAUCUCUCUUGAUGUAUCAGCAUCUCGAACGUGAACUCAUCUGUUACAAAGGGAUUUCAUUUUUUUGAACUUACUUGAACUCCAUACUUUUUGUGUGUUCAAAAUGCACCAUUCAAAGGCACAUCACAAAAUUUCAACAAUUUCUAACUUCAUUUGGUAUUUUUCAUGCAUUUACUUAUUUUUUUGAGCUAGUUGACCAUAAAAUUGAAAAGCACUACAAAUGAACUCUAAAAAUGUGGAAAGUUGGAAUGGUAUCAUAAUUUCACCCACAUAGCAUGUGCUAAAAAGUGGAGAGGGUUACGAUAAAAACUGGAUGCACUUCGUGUACAAAACAGACAAUCUCUCUCGAAGUAUGAGGGUUUCGAACGAGAACUCAUCUAUUACAAAGGGAUUUCAUUUUUUGAACUUAUUUGAACUCCAUACUUAUUGUGUGUUUAAAAUGCACCAUUCAAAGGCACAUCAAAAAAUUUCAACAAUUUCUGACUUAAUUUGGUAUUUUUCGUGCACUUACUUUUGUUUUUUUGGGCUAGUUGACCCUAAAAUUGAAAAGCACUACAAAUGAACUCUGAAAAUGUUGAAAAUUGGCAUGCUGUCAUCAUUUCACCCACAUAGCAUGUGUUAAAAAGUUGAGAGGGCUACGACAAAAACUGGAUGCAUUUCGUGUACAAAACGGACAAUCUCUCUUGAAGUAUCAGGGUUUCGAACGAGAACUCAUCUCUUACAAAGGGAUUUCAUUUUUUUGAACUUAUUUAAACUCCAUACUUUUUGUGUGUUCAAAAUGCACCACUCAAAGGCACAUCACAAAUUUUCAAUAAUUUCUUACUUCAUUUGGUAUUUUUCGUGCAUUUACUUAUUUUUGUUGAGCUAGUUGACCCUGAAAUUCAAAAGCACUACGAAUGAACUCUCAAAAUGUUGAAACCUGGCAUGGAAUCAUCAUACUGCUCAGGCGGGGACCUUCAUACUACUCAGGCAUUCAAAAAAGAUUUCCUUCUCUGCUUUGGUAAGAGCAUAGCUGCUUAAGUAUUGACGCACUUUAUCAGUCUUCUUGUCGUAUGGGUCUUUCAUACGUUGGUGCUCCUCCCGUGCUUCUGUUGUAUCUUUUGUCUUUCUAUACACUCCCAGGAAGCCUAGCAGGUUCACGCAAAGAUUCUUCUUCACGUGCAUCACGUCGAUUGAAGACCGGACCUCUAGUUGUUUCCAAUAGGGUAGCUCCCAAAAUAAAGAUUUCUUUUUCCACAUGGGCACGUGUCCGGUAAUGUCGUCUUUCGGAACUGAUUGACCGCGAGGACCCUUUCCAAAGAUUACUAUUUGAUCCAAAUCCUUGACCAUAGCCAAUAACUCAUCACAAGUAGGGAGGUUAGGCUUCUUCCGGUGAUCUGCCUCACCGUUGAAAUGCUUGCCUUUCUUUCUUACGGUAUGACUGGUCGGAAGAAAUUGACGACACACCAGGUAGACAACCUUCUUAGAUUUUCCCAAAUAUGUACCUUUACUCUUAUCUAAACAGUGCGUGCAUGCAUUGUAUCCCUUGUUUGAUUGUCCUAAAAUGUUACUAAGAGCAGGCCAAUCAUUGAUGGUUACGAACAACAAUGCUCAUAGGUCAAAUUCCUGUUCUUUGUGCUCAUCCCACACACGUACACCUGGUGGGCCCACAACUGCAAAAGUUCAUCAACUAAUGGCCUUAGGUACACAUCAAUGUCGUCGCAGGGUUGCUUCGGUCCUUUAGUCCCGGUCUGUGGUACGUGCCGGGACUAAAGGCCUAUUUUCUGUUUUCUUAUUUUAUUUGUUUUUGCAUAUUUGAGAAUAUAAAUAGUAAUCUGUUUGCAUAUUUGAGAAUUUGACAAAACUAUGAAAAUGAAAAGUGUUUGAAAUUGAAUAAAUAAUUCAAAACUAUUUUCUAUUUUCAAAAUUAAUUAUUUUGACUAUCCAAACUAUUAACUAUUUUGUAAUUUUCAAUUAAAUACUAUGUUUAUUAAAAUUCUUUUUGCAUAUUUGAGAAUUUGACAAAACUAUGAUAAUAAAAAGUGUUUGAAAUUGAAUAAAUAAUUCAAAACUAAAAGGUUUAGUACAUUCCAUACAUGCAUUACAUAAAAGGUUUAAUACAUUAUUACAUUAUUGCACCAAUAUUCCUACAUAUUAUUUCUGUUUUCUUCUCGGUUAACCAUGGAGAAUCUUCAUCAUUCAGUGGGAUGCUUGGGUCAGUUUUCACUUUGAAGGGCGGAAUUUCAUGAAACUUAUUAUAAUCUACUGACAUGUCUGUCUUGUCAUCUACUCCCACGAUGUUUCUUUUCCCUCAAAGAACUAUGUCGCAUUUUGGCUCAUCGGACGAUAUCUUCUUUUGCUGAUUUCUUUUUAUCGUUUUUGUAGACAUGUCCUUCACAUAGAAAACCUGAGCGACAUCAUUGGCUAGGACAAAUGGUUCGUCCAUGUACGCAAGAUUGUUGAGAUCCACUGUUGUCAUGCCGUACUUUUGGUCUACAACUACCCCGCCUCCUGUCAGCUUCACGCAUUUGCACCGAAACAAAGGGAUCUUAAAAGUAGGUCCAUAGUCAAGUUUCCAUAUCUCCUCUAUGUACCCGUAAUAUGUUUCCAAACAGUGCCAAUUCUCGUCUGUUGCAUCAAAGCGGACACACUAUUUUGGUUGGUGCUCUUUUUAUCUUGGGCAACCGUGUAAAAUGUAUUCCCAUUUAUCUCAUACCCUUGGAAAGUACAUAUAGUCGAAGAUGGUGACCUGGCCAAACAGUACAGUUGAUCUCCAACGGUGUCGUCAUUUAUGAGAUGUAUCUGCAACCAACUUCCGAAAGUCUUCUCGUGUUCCCCUUUAAUCCAAGAGUCAGCCUUCCCCGGGUUUUUAGAGCGUAGAAUAUUCUUGUGUCUCACGAUAUACGGAGCCACCACGGUGGAAUUGUGUAGAACUGUGUAGUGUUCUUGAGAGAAAGAAUGCCCGUCCAUACAUACUUUUGCUUUCCUUCCUAGUGUGCCUUUUCCUGUCAGCCUACCCUCAUACCGAGAUUCAGGAACACCAAUCGGCUUAAGGUCAGGAAGAAAGUCCACACAAAACUCAAUGACCUCCUCUGUUCCAUAGCCCUUGGAGAUGCUUCCUUCUGGCCUAGCACGGUUACGAACAUAUUUCUUUAAGACUCCCAUGAACCUCUCGAAGGGGAACAUAUUGUGUAGAAACACAGGACCGAGAAUUCUAAUCUCUUCGACUAGGUGAACUAGGAGGUGUGUCAUCAUAUUGAAGAAGGAUGGCGGGAACAACAACUCAAAGCUGACCAGACAUUGGACCACAUCAAUCUGUAACCCUGAUAGACUUUCUCGAUCGAUUACCUUAUGAGAAAUUGCAUUGAGGAAUGCACAUACCUUCACAAUUGCCAGGCGAACAUUUUCCGGUAGAAUUCCCCUCAAUGCAAUCGGAAGAAAUUGCGUCAUAAGCACGUGGCAGUCAUGAGACUUUAGGUUUUGAAAGUUUUUGUCUUUCAUAUUUACGAUUCCCUUUAUAUUCGACGAGAAGCCAGUCGGGACCUUGAUGCUGAAAAGGACUUCAAAGAAGAUUUCCUUCUCUUCCUUAGUAAGAGCGUAGCUGGCACGCCCUUGAAACUGCCCUGGAUGCAUGCCAUCUCUUCCUUUAUGACGUUCCUGGUCCUCCCGUGCUUCCGGUGUAUCGUCUUUUGACUUCCCAUACAAGCCCAGGAAGCCUAGAAUAUUCACACAGAGAUUCUACGUCAGGUGCAUCACGUCGAUUGCCGAGCGGACCUCAUGGACUUUCCAGUAGGGUAGCUCCCAAAAUAUAGAUUUCUUCUUCCACGUGGGUACGCGCUUAUCAGGGCCGUUAGGAACAGGUUGGCUGCCAGGACCCUUUCCAAAGAUUACUUUUAAAUCUUUGACCAUAUCAAAUACUUCAGCACUAGUACGGAUGACAGGCUUCCCCCGGGGUUCUGCCUUGCCAUUGAAAUGCUUGCCUUUUUUCUUUAAGGGAUGCUUGGGCGGAAGAAAACGACGAUUUUACGGGUACACAUUCUUCCUACAUUUGUCCAGAUAUAUACUUUCUGUCUGAUCCAAACAGUGCGUGCAUGCAUUGUAUCCCUUGUUUGAGUGUCCUGAAAUGUUACUAAGAGCAGGCCAAUCAUUGAUGGUUACGAAAAGCAACGCUCGAAGGUCAAAUUCCUCUUGUUUGUGCUCGUCCCACACACGUACACCUGGUUCGGCCCACAGCUGUAAAAGUUCAUCAACUAAUGGCCUUAGGUACACAUCAAUAUCGUUGUCGGGUUGCUUUGGACCUUGGAUAAGCACUGGCAUCAUAAUGAACUUCCGCUUCAUGCACAACCAAGGAGGAAGGUUGUAGAUACAUAGAGUAACGGGCCAGGUGCUGUGACUGCAACUCUGCUCCCCAAAAGGAUUCAUGGCAUCUGUACUCACACCAAACCAUAAGUUCCUUUCGUCACCUGCAAAUCUCAGGAACUCUCUCUCGAUUUUUCUCCACUGCCGACCAUCAGCGGGAUACCUCAACUUAUCGUCUUUCAUACGAUCUUCCAUGUGCCAUCGCAACAACUUCGCAUGAUCUUUAUUUCUGAACAGACGUUUCAACCGUGGUAUUAUAGGAGCAUACCACAUCACCUUGGCAGGAACCCUCUUCCUGGGUGGCUCACCCUCAAUAUCACCAGGGUCAUCUUUUCUGAUCUUAUACCGCAAUGCAGUGCAUACCGGGCAUUUAUCCAUAUUCUCGUACUUCUCACCGCGGUAGAGGAUGCAGUCAUUAGGGCAUGCAUGUAUCUUCUGCACGUCUAAUCCUAGAGGGCAGACAAGCUUCUUUGCUUCGUACGUGCUGGCGGGCAAUUCGUUCUUUCUUGGAAGCAUCUUCUUCAUCAGUACCAGCAAAUUUUCGAAUCACGAGAGUCAGUCACACCGGUCUCUGCCUUCCACUUCAGCAAUUCCAGUGUGCUACCCAGCUUCUUCUGGCCAUCUUCACAAGUUGGGUAAAACAAUUUGUUGUGGUCCUGUAACAUCUGCUCGAACUGCAACCUCUCCUUUUCUGUGUCGCAACCUCGCCGUGCAUCAGAAAUGACCCGGCCAAGAUCAUCAGCGGGCUCAUCUGGUUCCCGUCUUCAUCCUGAUCUUCUUCUUCAUUGUCUUCCAUUGCGGUAUCAGCAUACUCAGGGAACAUAGAUCGGUAGUUGUCAUCAUCGUUCUCUUCUUCUUCAUCAUCGUCUUCCAUCAUAACGCCUCUUUCUCCGUGAUUGGUCCAAACAUUAUAGCCCGACAUAAAACCGGACCGAAGCAGGUGGCUCUGAAUGACUCUUGAGGAAGUGUAAUCCUUCUCAUUCCGACAUUCAACACAUGGACAAAACAUAUAGCCACCACCAUGCUUGUUCGCAUCGGCUGCAUCUCGAAAAGAAUGCAUGCCUUCUCUGUAAGCGGUUGUGCGUCGAUCACCGUACAUCCAUGGAUGGCUCAUCUGCGUUAUACGACAGUAUAUCAAAUACAAUCACGAUCCUAAAAAUUAGUACCGCACGGUCUAAACGAGGAAAUAUAGUUGCUAACCUUUUAGAAUAAGUAGAAAUAAAGAGGAAGAGGUUUAAGCGUGGCUCGGGCAUCUCAUAUCGUAGUUGUGUUCGGUGAACUGAAGCGGCAUCGCUCUAACACACAUUUCAACAAACACCUCUAGUGCAUCCAAGAAAAAUGGAGAGCUAGCACACACCCACACUCUUCCAUCCAAGAAAAAUGCAAGAAAGAGGGGAGAGGGGGGUUGUGGCCAAUAUAUAUAGGCAGAGGACUUUAGUCCCGGUUUGAGACACAAACCGGGACUAAAGGUGACGCACAUGCGGGCUGCACACCGCGUAGCCCUUUAGUCUCGGUUUAUGUCUCGAACCGGGACUAAAGGCUCCUUACGGGCCGGGACCAAAGCCUUGUGGGCGGCAUUGCGAUUUUGGGGCGACGUGGCCGGGCCUUUAGUCCCGGCCCAGAUGGAGGCCGGGACUAAAGGGUCCAGGCCAAAGGCCCGUUUUCCACUAGUGAUUAUUCACAUAUGACAUUGUACUAUUUUUUUUAUUUGUUAUAAUGGAAAUCUUAGCUGAAAUUUUGAAUUAGAAAAUGCAAAGAAUCAAGUGUACCAUAUAUCUUCGAAAAUAUGUAACACUGUGUACAAAUAAGAAGGACACGUGCAACCAUCAUGAAAUAGUCGACCAACCCUUUGACAACCUUUGAAUAAACGAAUCAUGUAUGCUCGAUGAGUUCAAUUUGCAGCUGCAAUUGUGUGGAAGGGGACUAAUGGAAUGACAAUUGAAAAUUUGAGUAAAAUUAUAUUACUAUAUAGAAAUGAGGGAGGCCAGAGAGUGAAAAAUACAACCAUCAGGUAUAAGUUGCACAACUCUAGAGUAGUGUGACUAAAUGAAUCAUGUAUGCCCGAUGAGUUUGAUUUGUAUAGUAGUAAUUGUAUCGAAGUAGACCAAUGGAAUGACAAGCAAAAAAAAAAAUUGAAUCUGGUUUCAUUUCUGGGAAGAAAUGAGGAUGGCGAGAGAAAAAAUAGUGAGUAAAAAUAUCAAAUUAACUACGGAAAUAUGUUAGAGACAUCUGUGUAUAUUCACAUGUGUACAUGCAAAAUGCGGGAAAAAAAUACGAACUCAGUUGCCAAAAUUUGGUUUAUAUUCGAUGCAUCGUACCGUAUAAAAAAAUCAUUUGAUAUCUUAGAUGUAUUGACACGUAUGGAUUCAUUUGUAUAAAAGAAGAGUUGUGUGAGUAUAAAAGAAUCGAACUAAGGUACUCAUGAAUUGGCGAUCAUGAGCAUAGUUUUGGGACACCCAUAAAUGACAAUGAAACGAUAGAUAAUGAAGACUUUAAUAGAUUACACAUGUACUAAGAUUAGGUGCAAAAACAGGAGAAUAGUAGAAUCAAUCUGGAUGUGGUGUGCAACUCACAUAACAUAUUAAAUAUUAUAUUUGGUGGGAGUAAAGAUCUGACACAAAUGAAAAUCAUUUCAGGGGUGCAAUAAGUUGUCUCAGUUAUGCUUAAAGAUAUAAGUAUCAGAAAAACAUUUGUGCGUAUUUGUAUUGUAAACUAUAUAGGGGCAAGUGAAAUGAGAUAUUCUAGAAAAUUUCAGCGAAUGUUUCCAAGGGGGGGGGGGGGGGGGGAGCCAUGAGUAUGUGAAUCAUAAUUGCGUGAUUGUACAUCUAGUCCCCACCGUAGGGACUUAGGAUGUGUCUCAUUGAUAACUAAAUUUUCACAAGCAAGCAAGCAAAAUAGUAAUGUAACAUAUAUUGAGAAUCACAUAAAGAAAGCAAUAAUGAGACGUAAUUGGAGAUAAUGUUUUAAGGUUGUAAACACCACAUAUCCCGAGAAUGUAGUAUGAAUUAUUUGUAUCAUGCAUAAAAAGGUGAUAAGUAAUUUAUUUCAGGCAGACUGAAUUUGGAGUUCUCAAUUGUAUUUCUAAUUUAGAAUAUCCUCAUGAUUCAGUAUACUACAAUUAUGCAUUAUUUUAUACUCCCUCCGUUUCUAAAUAUAAGUCUUUUAAGAUAUUUCACUAGAAGUCUACAUACGGAGCAAAAUGAGUUAAUCUACAUUGUAAAGUAUGUCUAUAUGCAUCCGUAUGUAGUUCACUAAAGAAACCUCUUUAAAGUCUUAUAUUUAGGAACGGAGGGAGUACAAAUUUAUCGAUAAUGCUGAAUAUUUGAAUUAUCAACCAAUAUUUAUAUUAAUAGAAAACUCUAGCCGUGCAAAUGUGUGGGUAACUCCGUUAGUUAUACUAAUAAAAUAUGAUGCCAAUCACCAUGGGGCGUCGGCAGAUCGCAAUCCUUUACUCUGUCUAAUUUUAAAACUAAAUAGUAUAUGCAGUGGUUGAUGCCGGAAUGAAUCAAAUGAUGCGGAUAAUAGGUAAAUCCUCUGUUUUUAAAUAUAAGACCCUUUUACAGCUUAAUUUAGAAACAGAGGCAGUGCCAUUUUUGCCAUAAAGCGAAAGUUUGCACAAUAUUUUAAGUGUAUGGCGAUCAAGUGAACUGUCUAAUGGCCAAUGGGUACGAUGAUAAUGACUUGUGUGUACCUUGUCCCAAUCCACCUUUGUUAGGUGGCACAUAGUGGUCAUAAUUAUCUUCUUCCGUCCAAAAUAUGCAGCUGGUCAGUCAAGUGUUUACGUAAGGUUCCUUCAAUUAAGCUGUAGCACCUAGCAGGGAAACUAUACGUUUAUGAAAUUAUCUCCCAAGAAAAUUUACGAAUAAAAUUUUCGAGUAUCUAAUCUGAGGUUUCGUAAGUUUAUAAUAUUCAAGUAAAAAUUGAUUUACCCCUACAAGGGGAGAAAUCCUCACUUUUUUCCUUUUCAAUAUUAGGCAGUAGUAGGCAGAGAUGGUGAAUAUAAAGGUGGUGCAGGAUUUAGGUGUACGUGUUCAAAAAAUUCUUCUGAUCUCACUACUAGUAUUUCUCGACCAAGAAAUGUCGGUCAAGACAGGCUCACGUGGCAUGUUAAUUACUUAGUGGAGCAGAUAUGUAUUACAUUUUUAAAGAAGGAAACUUAAGAAGUUGGGCCAUCAAUUAAGUUCUAGCAGCCAGAUUGGUUGAUAGUACUUGACUUGUUCUAUUUGCUCACAUGCAAGUUCAUGCACAUCACCACACUGUUGCUUGCACCAGCUCUAUCAAUCUGCGGCUAUUUAAGCACACCCAUACAUGCCUCCAUUGACAAAGCAACUCACAAUGGCUUCUUCUUCCACAUUGUUUUGCCUUUCUGCCCUCCUUGUGCUGGCCUCAAGGCAGGCCACUGCCUACGAUCCUAGCCCUCUUCAAGAUUUCUGCAUCGCCGACAUGAAGGCGCCUGGUAUGCACUACGUAUAGUGUGCACGUAUAGAUGUGUGCCCUUAAUUCUAGUGGUGGUAUAGUUAAUGUUGUGAUAGCGUAGUACUGAUCACACAUUGAAGGUUACUACAUACUGAUAAUAGUUUUUUUUGUGUGGGGUACAUACUGAUAAUAGUUACAAAAGUAGUAUCACUACAUGCUCAAGCCACCCACACAUUUCUUACUUGCUUUAUGUUACUUUCUCUAUGCAUGCAGUGCGGGUCAAUGGAUUUGCUUGCAAGGACCCAAUGGCCGCAACCCCGGAAGACUUCUUCAACGCAGCCAUGCUCGAUCAGCCUAGGGAUACCAAGGCCAGCAAGGUCAGGUCCAACGUCACCAACAUCAAUGUCAUCAAUUUCCCUGGCCUCAACACCCUCGGCAUCUCCCUGGCACGCAUCGACUAUGGGCCAUUAGGUGUCAACACGCCGCACAUACACCCCCGUGCCACCGAGCUCCUCACGGUGCUUGAGGGGACACUCUACCUUGGAUUUGUCACAUCCAACCCAAACAGGCUCUUCUCCAAGAUAGUUAAGAAGGGUGAUGUAUUCGUAUUCCCAAAAGCAAUGAUUCACUUCCAAAUGAACCUGGCGCAUGACAAGCCAGCAGCCGCCUUGUCCUCGCUCAGCAGCCAAAACCCUGGGGUUAUUUCUAUCGCCAAUGCAGUCUUUGGAUCAAAGCCACCAAUUUCAGAUGAUGUUCUAGCCACGGCGUUUCAGGUGGAGAAGGAUCUGAUUCACUGGCUUCAAUCUCAGUUCUGGGAGAAUAACAACUACUAGAUACUCUCUUUCAUCUGGGCAUAUGGAAAGUUCAUAUGUAAUGCUAGUAUAUAGAAUAAAUGGCAUGUAAUAAUACGUAUGCAUGCAUGGUUGUGAGCUGUGUUUUCAUU